AUAAGCCAAGGAGAUAGUGGGAGGCAAAUUGAACUUGAAGAACUUCAAGAGUCAAGUGGUAAAGGAACUUCAAACCCUAGCCCUCAACUUGAGGAGAAAACUCAUCUUGAACCAAUUGACGAUUUUGUACCUCUGAGGCGAUCCACGAGAGUUAGGAAUGCACCUGAGCAUUACUAUGGGUUCCAUAUUACUAUGGAAGGUGAUACACUUAUCAGUGAUGAGACACUGAUUGGUCUGGAUGAACCGAACAGUUACGCGGAAGCCGUGGCAGGCCCUGAGUCUACUAAAUGGAAAGAGGCAAUGGACAGGGAGAUACAAUCCAUGUAUGACAAUCAAGUUUGGAACUUGGUUGAGAAUGUAACAGGUCGUAAGACUGUAGGGUCACUACAAGAAAAAAUGCCUUUUACGACGCGCAAAAUACGACGCUCAUUGAUCUAUGUUACGCAAAGGAGAGUGACAUUAGAAAAAUGUCAUCUCUUCAAAAAAUUUAAGGAUAGAAGACACGCAUUAUUGCGCGCCCUUAAAUUAGUGUCUAAAAAAAACACGGAGGGCACCUAUAAUAAAAUGCGCGUCGUCUAAGGAUGUCGCUUUAUAUUUUUUAAUGGAAUGCGCGUUCCAUCCUUUAAUAGUGGGGGAAAGGGGGAAAUGAAAUUCUGAAAAAAUUAAAAACCCCGCCAUGCUCUCCUCUACCUUCUUUCAAUCGUUCUUCUCUCUCUCUCUCUCUCUCUCUCAAUCAAAUACCAAAUCAGCGCUCUGAUCAUCUCUCCCUUUCUCCGAAUCUAUCCCUAUCUUCUUCUCUAAUCCAAUUCCCGAAAUGGAGUUCAAAUCCAACAAUAUUUCUGAAGACAACAACAACAAUCAAGGAUGGCAGAAGGUUACUUACGCUAAGAAGAACAGGAAGAAUCAGCCUAAGCAGCAGGUGCCUCAACCGAAGGCGCUUCCAAACGGAUCCGUUGUCGCUGGUAAUGAUAAUGUCUUCACUGCUAUUGAGAAGAAAUCGGAGGAGCGUAGGAAGGUUAUAGAAGCACAGAGAUUGUCGAUUUAUGAUCCUGCUCCUCCUCCGGUUAAAUCGUCAAGGAAGAAGAACUACUCCNNNNNNNNNNNNNNNNNNNNNNNNNNNNNNNNNNNNNNNNNNNNNNNNNNNNNNNNNNNNNNNNNNNNNNNNNNNNNNNNNNNNNNNNNNNNNNNNNNNNNNNNNNNNNNNNNNNNNNNNNNNNNNNNNNNNNNNNNNNNNNNNNNNNNNNNNNNNNNCUCAAGGGCCCAAAGCACACACACACACACACACAUAUAUAUAUAUAUAUAUAUAAUAUAAUUUAUAUUUCAUUAGGUGGAAAGGGUUUGGGUGUGGUAAUUGAGAGAAUCUCCAGAUGCCCAAUUCAUUCUGUAAGUACAUUUACUUGAAUAAUCAUCACUUUCAUUAUUGUGUGUUGAUAUGAUGGUUUCCUGAGUUAAUUCCAUGAACAGGGUACCAUUAGUUGUAAAAUUGACGAUGCUGGUAGCCAUGAGAUUAAUGGUGUUCGAAGGAGGGACGUUCUUAACUGCUUUGGGGCUGCCAUUAGCAUGGUGAUUAUGCUUCUCUUUUACUCCCCUUUCGGUUUUUACUUUCCAUUAUCGAUCAACCCUCGAUUUCACUAAUUCUAAUAAUCUUAGCAACUGAUUACACAAAAUCAAUGUACCUUAAUGCAAUAACUACAGUAAUCAUAAAAGUAAUUCCAACCUUCUUAAUCUCAUAACUCAAAGCUACAAUAAUAUAAUGGGAAAAAUACGAUGUUAAUUAAGAUAUGAAGAAACUUAAAACUUAUAGUUCUUUGAUGAAUUUGAGUGAUGUGAUCAUUGAGUUUCCGCCAGUUGUUCUCUCUUCAUAGGAAUUGGUGGCAAGCUCCAGCCCAAUCUCGAGCCCAUUCAUUGAGGCAGCUAAUGCUGCUGAUUUGAUACAAAGAAGACAGCGUUCAGACUUUCAAUGUAAGCUCUUCAAUUGCUUUUAUUUUAACUCAUGCUUUAUAAUAUGAUUUUUUUUUUAAAACUUUGCUGAUGUGGAUGCCAAGUCACAAUUACAUAUCAACUACAUCAGUUUAUGUGAAUUACAGUUUAGAAACACUAGUAAUUAUAUUUACAGAUACUUGAACUUGAACUUUUUCUUUUUUUAUUUGGCAGCAAGUAUAAAGAUGACCCUCUAUAAAGCCAUUAAGGUAAACCAUGAAGUUUAUAUUUCUGUUAUAAGAUAUUUAGAUAAAGAAAUGUAAGCACAUUGCGUAUUGAUAUUUCCUGCAAUUUACCCUUUAGAAUUGCUCUUUUUGAGAAAUUUGAAUUGUUGUUUGAAUUUCAGGCAAAUCCAGAGCUGAUUUCACCCCUAUUAACAUUAGCACUUAAUGAUUCUAUGACAUAUGAUAAGGUCUGAAUCAUAACAUAUAAUUGUUACACUUUAGCUUACUUAGUGAGAGUUGUUUUAUUAGUUAAAAUUAAUUUCGUUAUUGUUAAGCUUUUAGCCAACAAAAACUGGAGGCCCUAAUGGAUCCAUACGCUUCAGGUAUUUCCCAUCUUCCACAUCUUACAAAGCUCUUAAAAUGUUUGAAUUUAUACUUUUUUUUUGUGUGUGUGUGUGUGUGAAGCUCUGAGAUUGAGAGACCAGAAAACAAAGGACUUUCUGCUGCUUUAUCAAUGGUGGAAGAAGCAAAAAAAGAGAUCGAUUCUUACUCUAAAGGUGGACCAAUUUCAUACUCCGAUCUCAUCCAAUUAGCAGGUUUGGUGUUUGUCAGAAGUAGCCAACAUAUCCACAACAACUUUCCCCCAAACGUUUGGGAUUUCUUUUUCUUAAUAUGAAAAUUGAUGUUAUAUAUUUAUUUAUUUAUUUAUUUGUUGGAUAAAUAUUGUUCAGGAUGAGGACGAAAGUACCCUCCACAUCACUGAGUUGCCAGUUAGAAGGUGGACACAGGAGUAUAAGGAGUUUUUGGAGGUUGCUUCAACUGCUGGAAAAGAUAAGAAACCUUUCAUAGAGUUAGAUUAUUAUACAUAAUUAUAAUAUCCUUCCUUUUCAUAUUUAUUUAUCUCAAAUUUGCAUUAUUUUUUAAUAAAUUUGACAGGGGAAUGGUUUAAGUGAGAUCACAAGUCACAGGUGUCGUACAUAUUGACUUUUGAUCACAUUCACUCUUUUGUUCAUCAGUAUACUUCCUACUUGAUAUCCUCAUUGAUGUAUGCAUUUUUCCCUUCAAAUAAUCAAAGCCUUUUUUUCUUUUAGUAUUAAUAUGGAACAUAAGCUUUUUGUUUUAGGUUCUUUCUGAAGCUAAGAAAAUAAUUGAUUCAUGUAUGGCUGCAAAGGUAAGUUUUGUAACAUCUUGUAUUCAAGAAAUAACAAUGUACUUUCCACAAAAAAAUUAUAAAUUAUAUUCUUUGAAAAAAUUGCUAGAUUGGUAGGUUUAAAAGUAGAAUGUCCUAAUAAGAAUUAAUUUUAAAUGUAGAAUGAAAAUGACAAGUGAUUUUGUGUUGUGUUUACAGGGUUGAUGAAAGUGAAUAACUCUGGAAUUAGAAGAGGAAAAGAAAGCUCAAGCUAAAAGAGAUAAGAUGCUACAAAUGCAAGUGUUGCAUUCUUCAUUUAAAUUGUUAGUAUGAAACACAGUAGAUUAGAUGAAUGAAAAUUUAUAUAUUGUAAGAAAUAGAAUUGUAUGACAUUAAAUUUUAUGCAAUGGAUUGUAUUUUUUGUAUAUGGUAUUUUAUUUCUAUUAUGAGACAUUAAAUGCAAAUUUCACUUAAAAAUUAAUAAAUAUAUAAAUAUAUAUUUUUUAAACAUUUAAAUUUACGAUACGCAAAAAUGUGUGUCAUCUUCAUUUAUGACAUGGCCUUUCUUGAUAGGGGCUUUCUUGAUACGCAUUGCGUGUCAUUAACACGCGCGUCGUAAGGUUACGACACGCNNNNNNNNNNNNNNNNNNNNNNNNNNNNNNNNNNNNNNNNNNNNNNNNNNNNNNNNNNNNNNNNNNNNNNNNNNNNNNNNNNNNNNNNNNNNNNNNNNNNNNNNNNNNNNNNNNNNNNNNNNNNNNNNNNNNNNNNNNNNNNNNNNNNNNNNNNNNNNNNNNNNNNNNNNNNNNNNNNNNNNNNNNNNNNNNNNNNNNNNNNNNNNNNNNNNNNNNNNNNNNNNNNNNNNNNNNNNNNNNNNNNNNNNNNNNNNNNNNNNNNNNNNNNNNNNNNNNNNNNNNNNNNNNNNNNNNNNNNNNNNNNNNNNNNNNNNNNNNNNNNNNNNNNNNNNNNNNNNNNNNNNNNNNNNNNNNNNNNNNNNNNNNNNNNNNNNNNNNNNNNNNNNNNNNNNNNNNNNNNNNNNNNNNNNNNNNNNNNNNNNNNNNNNNNNNNNNNNNNNNNNNNNNNNNNNNNNNNNNNNNNNNNNNNNNNNNNNNNNNNNNNNNNNNNNNNNNNNNNNNNNNNNNNNNNNNNNNNNNNNNNNNNNNNNNNNNNNNNNNNNNNNNNNNNNNNNNNNNNNNNNNNNNNNNNNNNNNNNNNNNNNNNNNNNNNNNNNNNNNNNNNNNNNNNNNNNNNNNNNNNNNNNNNNNNNNNNNNNNNNNNNNNNNNNNNNNNNNNNNNNNNNNNNNNNNNNNNNNNNNNNNNNNNNNNNNNNNNNNNNNNNNNNNNNNNNNNNNNNNNNNNNNNNNNNNNNNNNNNNNNNNNNNNNNNNNNNNNNNNNNNNNNNNNNNNNNNNNNNNNNNNNNNNNNNNNNNNNNNNNNNNNNNNNNNNNNNNNNNNNNNNNNNNNNNNNNNNNNNNNNNNNNNNNNNNNNNNNNNNNNNNNNNNNNNNNNNNNNNNNNNNNNNNNNNNNNNNNNNNNNNNNNNNNNNNNNNNNNNNNNNNNNNNNNNNNNNNNNNNNNNNNNNNNNNNNNNNNNNNNNNNNNNNNNNNNNNNNNNNNNNNNNNNNNNNNNNNNNNNNNNNNNNNNNNNNNNNNNNNNNNNNNNNNNNNNNNNNNNNNNNNNNNNNNNNNNNNNNNNNNNNNNNNNNNNNNNNNNNNNNNNNNNNNNNNNNNNNNNNNNNNNNNNNNNNNNNNNNNNNNNNNNNNNNNNNNNNNNNNNNNNNNNNNNNNNNNNNNNNNNNNNNNNNNNNNNNNNNNNNNNNNNNNNNNNNNNNNNNNNNNNNNNNNNNNNNNNNNNNNNNNNNNNNNNNNNNNNNNNNNNNNNNNNNNNNNNNNNNNNNNNNNNNNNNNNNNNNNNNNNNNNNNNNNNNNNNNNNNNNNNNNNNNNNNNNNNNNNNAAGGUACACACUUAUAAGGCUAGACUGGUUGCAAAGGGCUUCUCUCAAAUUGCAGGAUUGGAUUAUGAUGAGACUUUUUCUCCAGUAGCCAAGAUUUAGUAUAUUAAGGUUAUGUUAGUCAUAGCUGCAUUUCAUGACUAUGAAAUAUGGAAAAUGGAUGUCAAAACCGCUUUCCUUAAUGGAAAGUUGACUGAAGAUGUUUACAUGAGUCAGCCAGAAGGUUUUGUCAACAACGAGUACCCUAAUAGAGUGUGUAAGCUUGAGAAAUCCAUUUAUGGAUUAAAGCAAGCAGCUCGCAGAUGGAAUCUUUUCUUUGAUGAGAAAGUCAAAGAGUUUGGCUUUUCGAGAAGUGAAGACGAAUCUUGUGUAUAUGUCAAGGAUAGUGGGAGUAUAGUUAGCUUUUUGGUAUUGUAUGUGGAUGACAUACUACUCAUAGGAAAUGACAUCCCAACUCUGCAGGAAGUUAAGUCCUGGCUUGGGAAGUGUUUCUCUAUGAAGGACCUAGGAGAAGCUGCAUAUAUUCUAGGGAUAAGGAUUUUGAGAAACCAGAGUAAAAGACUAAUUGGACUUAGUCAAAGUACCUACUUGGACAAAGUGUUGAAGAGAUUCAGCAUGCAGAACUCCAAGAAAGGAGAGUUACCCAUCCAGAGUAACGCCAGAUUGAGUAAGACACAAAGCCCUAGUACUGAGGCUGAGAUAGCAGAAAUGAGUCGAAUACCUUAUGCUUCGGCUGUAGGAUCGAUCAUGUAUGCUAUGACGUGUACUCGACCUGAUGUAGCCUUUGCCUUGAGCAUGGUUAGCAGGUAUCAGGGGAACCCUGGCAAGGCACACUGGACUGCGGUAAAGAAUAUCAUCAAGUACCUACAGAGGACUAAGGACUGGGUCCUUACCCUCGGCGAGAGUGGUGACUUGAGAGUUGUAAGGUAUAGUGAUGCUGGCUUCCAGACUGAUAGGGAUAAUUUCCGCUCUCAGUUGGGCUGGGUCUUUACCCUAAACAGAGGAUCAAUCACUUGGAAGAGUUCCAAGCAGGAGACAAUGGCUGAUUCCACUUGUGAAUCAGAGUAUAUAGCAGCGAGCGAAGCAGCAAAGGAGGCAAUAUGGUUGAAGAACUUCAUUGGAGACCUUGGAGUUGUUCCAGCUAUAAAGGAGCCUAUGGAAAAUUUCUGUGAUAGUGAAAGUGUUGUUGCCUUAGCUAAGGAACCAAGGGAUCACGGGAGAUCCAGACACAUCGACAGAAAAUAUCAUUUUAUCAGACAUCGCAUAGAAGAAGGAAUCCUUGUUGCAAAGAGGGUAUCAUCAGAUGAGAACCCAGCAGAUCCCCUCACGAAGGGACUGAGUAGGGCUAAGCAUCUUCAGCAUGCUAGGAGCAUAGGGCUAAAGGAUGAUAUAAGUUUUAGUAGUUAGAUAAAUUAUGAAAUUUGUAAACUGUAAUUGACAUUUGAUGAUAAAUAAUAGUUGGUUGUUUAUUUAUGAGUAAAGUGUUACUAUCUUUUGUCAAUCAUUUACUAUAUUUUCUUUUGAAUGUUUUGACUUCCAGAAUAUUAUGUUGUGUUACUACAUAUUAUUCAAAUCUCCACAGUCAGUCAUAUGUUGAAAGUAGAUAUGAAUUAAGACUGUCAUGAAUUUGGUUGUAGGUGUCAAUGUUAAGGACAACACUUCAUGAGUACUUAUAAGUUCUGAGUACUGGAAUCAACCCACGCUCACUGGAAUCACUUCAUGGAAUUUCUCUCGAGUGAUCGUGAGACGAUAAUAUCACAUAAGUCUUCAAACCUAGAGAUAUAAUUUGUUACUUAUGAGUUGGUUAUGCAUUGAUUGUACGUAAACGCAUUGGUAACUCGAUGUUAUAAAACGUGCUUUUGUGUAUAAUUCAAUGAGUAGUAGAACAAACAUAUGAGUCGAAGUUUAUCUGUUCCUUCUUGGAUUAGAAGCUGAUAUCUGGGCCCCUCGAUGAUUUUGUUUUGACCUAUGUACCGGGCCUGGUCAGAACUAAAUUGAUGUGUUCAAUUAAGUUCUUUGUCAAACAAAUCGGAAAUCGGGAAACAAACUGUUGAACAAUAAGUAAGACAUUGUUCCAUGUAUUUGUCCGGCUGAUAUCUAGAACAAAGGAUUAUGUGAUCACUUAUCUUACAUGGUGUAUCAAUAUUUUCUCAGUUCUGAGAAACCUUGAAAGAGCUACGAUUGCUGAUCGGUUCCUGAAGUAUUACGGUUAUAGUUAUUAGACUUAUCCAAGUGGGAGACUAUUGGAUAAGGUGUCUAAGUCCAUAACUAUUUAUGGUAUGUACUUGACCCGACCCGGCAUGGUCCAUUUGGGUUGCAUCGCAUGAUGCAAUUGAAUAAACUAAAUGAGAGAAAUAACGCUUAUGGUUUAUUAAUAUAUUAUAAGUUCUAAUAUAUUAAUAAUAUUAUUUAAUUAGUUUUGAUCAAGAAUUAAUUAAGUGAUCAAAAGAUAACUAAUUAGAUAUAUGGGUAGAUUAUGUAAAUCUUCCAUAUCUUAUAUAGUGGGCUAAGAGGCUCCAUGGAUUGUCAACUUGGGUUCCACCCAUAGGAUGCUCCAUGGAUGCUCCAUGGAGUUAACCCAUGGAUCAAGAAAUGAAGAGUCAUGUUACAUUAGGGUUUACCUAAUGCAACACACUAUAUAAGCAAUGUGUUUCUCCCCAAAAUCGGCUACACUAACUAGAAGAAGAGGGCUUGGCCGAUUUUUCAAGUGUUAGAGUUUUCUCUAAAGUUUGUUCAUUGCAUUUGGUGUUGUGUGAAGCAUUUGAGGCAUCACACUUGAGGUGCUAGGCUCACAAGGUUUUAAGGAACACUUUCAACAACUAGGUAUGUAGUUCUAUCUUUCAUUCAAAGAAAAAUUGUUCCCCAUGUAUGCUAGAUAGGAACAUAACCAUGAAAAUCAACUUUGCAUGAUAAUUAGACAAACAUAGAUCCAAGGUUAUCAGGGUUGCAUGUACACUUAGGAAGUGUUAGAAUGCUAAAAAUCCAUCACUUAUGAAUAUUAAAUUUUAACACAAUAUUGCCAUAAUUCUAUUGCAGUACUAAGUAUACUAGUGUUAGGUUACGAUUAGAGACUCACUAACAUAUACCAUUAUUGUAGGAAUCGGUAGUGGUACAAGUGGAAGUAGUUCAAGGCACCAUUUGCAUCAUCUCAAUGCAUUGUGAGUAUUCACGAAUCCCCCUAUUUUUGGUUUAAUUGUUUUGGGGUGGAAAAGCAUGUCCAAAAACUAUUUAUUGUUCAUUGUAUUUAAAUUGAUUUGUAUCAAACUUUAUUGCUAUAUUUUGCUAUGUAUGUCUAUGCACCACGAAACAUGAGGCCUUAUAAUCUUAAGUCCCUACCCUUACACUUUUCUCCAAUCAUUAAGUCUUUGAGCCAAUGGUCAAUAUGGAUAACGCUAUUAGGAAUUAACAACUCCUCACUCGCUCGAUUAUUGGAGUGCAUGAUACCAUAUAAUCGAUGGAACGAUAAGCAUAGAUCUUGACAAGGCAUCAGUCAUAGGCUUGGUUGUGAACUCAUUGUUUGCUCAUAUACAUACAAACUCGCUUAUUAAUUAUAAUAAUGAACUUUGUUUCUCAUUAUAGCAAUAAGCUUUGUUUCUCAUUAUAACAACAAACUUUUGUUACUAGAAACUUUUUACUUGUCUUAAUAACGAACUUGUUUACUCAUUGUAGCAACGAAGCUUGUUUACUCGUUUUAGUAACAAACUUUAUUUCCCAUGAGAAUAUGAACAUUACAUCUCAUUUGGGCAACAUACUUUGUUCGUCAAGAUGACAAAGAACUUUGUUGCAAAAACAUAUUUACUCAUUUUAACAAUGUACUUUUAAUUAUGGAAACUUCUAUCAAAACAUAGAUUACCAUUCAUUAAACCAAGAUUUUUUUUAACCUGUGAGUACUCACCAACUAUUUUUAUAGUUGACGCUCAUUUUACAUGCAUUUCUAGGAAUCAUCUAGUAAGAGGCACAUAGAGACACAACACUUGUAGGAGCAUUUGCAUGUGUUGAUUUUUAAAUACAUUGUAAUUUCUUUUAGAAAGUUGUUCAAACUCAUUGUAAAUUUGUAAUGAUUUUCAAUACUAUGGUUGGUGUUAUCUUUUAACUUUUACUAUGAGACCCUUUGUACUGCCACACCUCGUGUUUCUGCUUUAGCGGGGUGUGACACUUACCCGAUUGAUAUGAUCCCUAUCCCCAUGGGGGAUGUAUGCGUGAGAGUGGGUAUGGAUUGGCUAACCAGGUUUGAUGCCAUGAUUGAUUGUGAGGACCAGCGAGUGGUAGAUCAAACCCCAAGUGGGGGAUAAUUGGUCAUCUAUGGAGAGGGCAUUGGGAUUGGUUUAGGGUUUUGCUCGGCAGCUAGGGCUUGAUAGUAUAUUCAGCAAAUGUGUGUCGGUUAUUUGGCUUCUGUGGUUGAUACUCGGGUUGGGGAGCAGACUUCAGUUUCAGAGGUACUACUUUUUAGGGAUUUUACUGAUGUUUCCCCAAAGGAGUUACUCGAUGUGCCUCAUGAGAGGCAAGUUGAUUUUAGGAUUGAUCUUGUGUCAGGUGUGGCCCCGAUUGCCAUGGUGUCGUACUGCUUGGCACCGCCUUAGAUGUAGCAUUUGUCAUCUUAGCUUCAGGAGCUUCUAGGCAAAUAGUUCAUUAGACCAAGCAGUUCUACAUUGGGACCAUCGAUACUGUUCGUCUUGAAGAAGGAUGGUUCACACCGGAUGUCCAUAGAUUAUUGUCACACCCCCAAACCAAGGAUAACGGAAACGUCCGGGGGUGGCGAACUUCAUAUAUAGUAUCACAACAAGAGUAUAAUAGUGCUCAAAGUAAAUACAACCAUCAUAAAUAUAAUUGAAAAGGUUACACCAUAGUACAAUUUUACAUCUUUCAAAUUCAAUUACACUAUGAUGACAAAAAUGAAAUGUUUGACGAUUUAACGUCCCAUCCUCAAAAGCUGUUGAUUUCCUAUUUUACUAAUUUCCUGAAAAUACAAGUAAUUUCGAAAAAGUGUCAAUAAUUAAGUUGGUGAGUUCAUAAGCUUUUGGAUGUAGAGUUGGAAAUCCUUUGUUUGUAAAUGUAAUGUAUACCCAAGAAAAAUCCAUUAUUUUUCUUAAUAAAUGUUAUGUAGUCUUAAAUCCCAAGACUGGGUGUAUGUGUGUACCAUACUUAUAACAAUGUAUGCAAUUUUAAAUAGAUAAAACCCCUUUUUAAAGUAUAAAUUCCCGUAAACUAUAAGUUUUUUUAUCUCCUUAUGUGAUUCGUUAUAACCAUAUUAUAAUAGACAUGCAUGCUGCGACGUUCUUUAGACAUCGAAAAUGAAAUGACAUUUGUCAUCCCUAUCGGUCGAUCGGGCUGUUGUAAGCAGCAUGGGAGUGGGUUGUCAAUCCCAAUAUAGAUCUAUACACAAUUAUCACGCUCUCCCUACAAGUGACUCUAGUUAUAACUAUUUCAAAAAUUUUAACCAGUACUCAAAGAGUACAAUGAAGACGUGUCUCACAAUUUACGAUAACGAGAUUACAUGUGGUAAACGUGUAAAACCUUUUAUAUGGUGGAAUUGAAAUCCCCUUUUGUGUAGUAUGUUUGAAAUGUGAAAUCCAUAAACUAUACCUAUUAUAAUUCAUCAUGUGGUAAAUGAAAACCUGUUUGUAUUGAGAGUAAAACCUUUUCUGUGUAAGUAAUAUGUUUAGCAAAGCAUAACUAGACUUCUUAUGUUUCAUCUUGUAUGUUUGAAAUGAUAAAGGACUCUUACAAUUCAAUGAGUAAUUUCUGUUAUUUAAACGUAACUUAACAGCAAACACAUGUAAAAUAUGAAGUCAUCAAAGAUAAACACUUUGCUCCACAUGUUACAAAGUGUUAUGAAAGUUGUAAGCUGUUAACUAGUUUUUAACUUUUCUGCACUAUUUUAGGAAAAAUCAUAGAAACAUCAUACGAUGUUGAAAACUGCAUCCGUAAACUCUGAGAGUUUAGAAAAUGUGUCUAGUUUAUUCAUAAUUUUUAUUAUGAUUUUUAGAAGUCUCUAACUUGUGUGAAAAUGUUCGUAUUCACAAACUGGUCCGAAUUCGUUUCUGAAAUGAUAGGAAGUUUUGUAAAAAUCACCAUAAAUUGUAGAAAAAUCAUAUGGAGAUGUGAAAGUAUUCAUUAGAAAGGUAUAAACCAGAACCACUUGCAUAUUAAACAGUUUUGAAAGAUAUUAUGUUUAAGAUGGUCAAAACAGUCCAUGAAUAGGACUCAACUUUUCUAUGAAAAGUUGAAGUAUGAGUUUGAGUUGUGUUAAGAUGAUUUAACUUGUAUCCCCCCCCCCCUAAAACUUGAAUAAAUCAUGAAAAUGUAGGGGUAUGAACUCACCUUGAGUGAUUUUCUGGGAUGAAUGUGAAAGAAUAGAGGUUUCCAAGUCAAGAACACUUGGUAAAUGCUUGGAGAGUUAAAGAUCUAAGAACAAAUAUGGUGAUAUUUGUUAUGAGAGAUCCAUAAUUUGAGUGAAGGUGUGAAGAAUCUUCAAAUGUAGGAUGAAAAUACUUACCAAAAGUGAGUGAAAAACUCAAUAUCAUCCUUGGACUCUCGAGUUUGUAGAGAGAGAGAGAGUGAGAGAGAGGUGUUGCUUUUUGGUGAGAGAGUGAGUAAAGUGGAAGGAGAGGUAAAGGUUUUCCAGCCUUUGAUCAAGAUAUCUUGAUGGAGGGGAGUGUGAGAGGACAAAUAGUUGACUUGGUAAGGAUGAAUAGUGACUGGAGGAUGUCAUAGGGUGGUAUGGGAGGUAGCUUGUCUCAUUACUUUAUGGAAAAUUCAACACUCCAAAUCAAAAUAUUACACAAUAGAUAUUAUUCUUAGACUAAGAUUUCCCGCAAAAAGUGAUUAAAAUAUGAAUAUAUUGGGUCUUAAAUGCUAAAAUAUGAGUUUGGGUGAAAAUCCCAUGUUAAAAUCAUGAAAAAACGAGCUUAAAACUCGAAGAUGUUCGAAAACCAGGAAAGGAGGAGCGAACCUGCGAGGGUUCGGUUCAUGUUGUUGAGGACCGAAGGUGGGUUCGGUCCGUGAAGCUCACAGGCGAAGGUGUCACAUGGGAGGCGAAGGAGAAAUAAACUGAGAGAAGUUGAAGCUUCGAUCCGAAGGGUCUGAUCCGAACCGAAGGUUGAGUUCGGUCCUACAGUAGGUUUCGGUCUUGGCAGGUUCAGUCCUUAAGGUUCGGUUCUUAAGGCCAGUUUCGGUGGUUAUAGGAAGGCUUCGGUUCAUAUAGGGAUUUCGGCCCUAUAUGGCUGUUUUUCGAGUAGUCUUUCCAUUUAGAGUGGUUUUUAACUAACUUAUGGGUCAGGAUGACCCUAAUGAUUAUAAAAAGUUGAAAGAGAUUUUGAGAGAGAUUUGGGAGACAUUUGGGAGAGAGAGAGAGAGAGAGAGAUAGAGUGAGAGAGAUUGAGAGAGACUUUAUUUGUGACCUUUGUGAGUGUUUAGCCUCAAAAUACAAGGUUUGCAAGCCCCGAUAAUCCUUGUUAUGAGUGUUAUAUGCCCCCGAAGGGUAUGUAAUAGUAUUUUAUCGAGUAGUUACAUCAUUUACCAUGAUUAGGGUUUAAAUUUUCUGAACAUGUGAGAACUCAAAGUGAUACUUUGCAUUAAGAUAGUGAGUUGUACAAUCGUAAGCAUAAUGUAAAAUCUAAUAUACAAGGGUUAAUUGUGUUGGCCAGUUUGACUUGUUGACUUUAUUUGUCUUUGACUUGACCAGAAAGUGACGGUUGUCACCUCAUUCCUCCGUUAGAAGGAAUUUCGUCCCGAAAUUAGCGUUUUGAUUAGGACUUUAGGUGUUUGGGAAGAGGUGUGGGUAUUUUUGUUUCAUCUGAUCUUCACGUUCCCAGGUGAACUCAGGUCCUCGUUUAGCGUUCCAAUGGACCUUCACAAUAAGGAUGCGACUCUGUUUCGUUCUCUUGAUCUCUCGAUCCAUGAUUUCUACUGGUUCUUCCACGAAGUGGAGACUCUCGUUGAUUUCGAUCUCGUCGAGUGGUAUUACAAGAGUCUCGCCGGACAGACACUUCUUUAUGUUCGAUACGUGGAAGGUAGGAUGUACAUUUUUGAGUUCUUGCGGUAGCCGAAGCUUGUAUGCUACCGGGCCAAUCCUAGCGAGGAUCUCGAAUGGCCCGAUGUAUCUAGGGUUCAGCUUUCCUCGUUUACCGAAACUUAUUAAACCCUUCAUGGGUAAGACAUUUAAUAGCACUCGAUCUCCAACCUAGAAGUCCAAAGGCUUUCGUCUAUUAUCUGUGUAACAUUAUGUCUGUCUCUAGAAGCCUUUAGUCACUCUCGGAUUUCGAAAAUUUUCUCUGUAGUUUCUCUUAUGAUCUCCGGGCCAGUGAGGGUGCUGUUAGGGACUUGUCCCUUAGCUAGUUGCAUGUCACCCACUACAGCCCAGCACAGAGGUGAUCUGCACUUGCGGCCGUAGAGGGCUUCGAAUGCUGCAACCUUGUUGCUAGUAUGAUAAUUGUUAUUGUAUGAGAAUUCUCCAAGUGGUAAAUGGGUAUCCCAAGCUUUACCAAAAUCUAUCACACACGCCCUAAGCAUGUCUUCUAGCGUCUGUAUGGUCCUCUCACUUUUCCUGUAAGUUUUGGGUGAUAGGCAGUACUCAUGUCCAGCCUAGUUCCCAAGGAUUUCUAAAGUGACUGCCAGAAUCGCAUAGUAACUCGAGUAUCCCUGUAUGAGAUAAUGGACUUUGGCACCCCAUGCAACCUCAUAAUUUCCUUGAUGUACAUUUUGGUCAGCUUCUCCGUUUUUUCGGUCUCCUUCAUCGGUAGGAAGUGUGCGGACUUGGUCAACCUGUCAACGAUCACCCAAAUGGUAUCGAGGCCACCCAUUAUCUUAGGUAGUUUGGUUAUGAAGUCCAUGGUUAUUUGUUCCCACUUCCAUUCGGGUAUCGUAGGUUGUUGUAGUAGGUAGUGAUUUCGGCUUUCAUGUUCGGCCACCCGCAGAGUUUCUUCAGGUCCAGGUACAUCUUGUCCGAACCGGGAUGUACGGAGUACCGAGUUUUGUGUGCUUCGUUCAGGACGACGUCCCUGAACCCCCGAAUUUCGGUGUCCAAAUUUGGUUCAUGAGAUAACGAGCUCCGUCAUUCUUGAAUUCUAGAUUCUUAUCCAAUCCUCUUAAUGCCUCACCUGUCACAUUAUGAGGUUUCAAAGCUUCUAGCAAGAGCAUCUUUGAUUUGCAUGGACAGGUGCAAAUGGAUUGUCAUGGUUAAUGACUUUACUCGUCGACCCGAGUAUUUUUUUCGACUUAAGGCGUCAGCUACUACGUUGGCCUUACAUGGGUGAUAACGAAUCCUACGGUCGUAAUCAUUCAGUAGUUCUACCCAUCGUGUCUGCCUCAUGUUGAUCUCUUUUUGAUUGAGGAUGUGUUGAAGGAUUUUGUGAUCGGUAAAGACAGUACACUUCGUUCCGUAAAGGUAGUGCCUCUAGAUCUUUAGGGUGAGUACUACUGCUCCCAAUUUGAGGUCAUAUGUGGUGUAGUUGACCUCGUGUGUUUUUAAUUGCCUUGAUGCAUAGGCAAUGACCUUUCCUCGUUGCAUUAACACACAUCCAAGCCCCUGGUACAGUAGACCACGAAGUAUUCGUUCUGGGAGAGAUAAAAUUGGGGUGCUGCAUAGGGCCUGCUUUAGUGUUCUGAAAGAGGUUUCUUGCUUCUCUCCCCAUUUAAAAGUCACACCUUUUUAGGUCAGGGUGGUAAGUGGUUUGGCAAUCUUGGAGAAGUUUUGGAUGAACCUUCGGUAGUAGCUAGUGAGGCCUAAGAAUUGUCGGAUUUAUGUAGGCGUCCUUGGUGCUGACCAGUUCUCGAUCGCCUUGAUUUUGGAGGGAUCCACGUGUAUCCCUUUCUCGCUAACCACAUGACCGAGGAAGACCACUUCUCAGAUGCAAAAUUCACACUUCGAAAAUUUUUCAUAUAAUUUCGCCCUUAGUGUCUCCAAUACCUGUCGUAGGUGUUGGCUAUGCUCUUCCUCACUCCUUGAAUAGACCAGGAUGUCGUCUAUGAAUACAAUCACGAACUAGUCUAGGUAAGGCCGACACACCCGGUUCAUUAGAUCCAUGAACACCGCGGGUGCGUUCAUUAACAUGAAGGGCAUCAAUACAAACUCGUAGUGACCGUACCGAGUCCUGAAUAUAGUUUUGAGAACAUCCUCCUCCUGGACCCGUAGUUGAUGGUAUCCCAACCUCAGAUCGAUCUUUGAGAAGUAAGAUGCUCCUUGGAGUUGGUCAAAUUGGUCGUCGAUUCGGGGUAAAGGGUAUCAGUUUUUGAUGGUAAGCUUAUUUAAUUUGUGGAAGUCGAUGCACAUGCGGAACAAUCCAUCUUUCUUCUUCACAAAUAGAACUGGUGCUCCCCAAGGCGAGUAGUUGGGUCGGAUGAACCCCUUGCUCAGCUGUUCGUUUAGUUGGCUCUAUAGUUCUUGCAUCUCAGUUGGCGCUAGGUGGUGAGGCGCCUUGGCUACGGGGGUAGCUCCGGGAAUUAGGUCGAUUCGGAAUUCGACUUGUCGUGUGGGUGGAACUCCGGGAAGGUCUUCUGGGAAUACGUCAGGGAAAUUACAGACCUCCGGGAUGUCCUUGGUUUCCUUCACCUCUUGUUUCUUAUCCACUACGUGGGCUAAGAAGUCAUGGUAUUCCUUUCGGAGAUACCUUUGUGCUUUGGCGCAAGAGAUGAUUUGUAGGUUUGUACUAGGCUUGUGGCCGUAGACAACGAGAGUUUCGUCGUCCGGCAGAUUAAGGCGAACGAACCUUUCGUAACACAAAAUGUCAGCACAAUUUGAGCUUAACCGAUCUAUGCCGAUGAUGAUGUCAAACAAUUUUAUUGAAACCGGCAAUAGAUCGAUUUUGAAUGAGUGAUUGUCUAGAGUGAGGGUACACCCUGAGUAUAUGUCGUUAGUGCUUUCUGUUUUUCCAUUUGCCAUUUCUACGACGUAUGUAUCUUUUAGUAAUUGGGGAUUUUUUUAACAGUUGUUUGAAUUUGUGGCUAACGAAACUCCUCUCCGCUCCCUUAUCGAAUAAUAUACAUGCAUAUGAGUUAUUAAGGAGAAACAUACCAGUAACCACCGUGGGAUCUUCCCUCGCUUCCCCCUGCCCUAAGGCCAAGAUUCUUCUGACACCGCCGGUGUUUGUGUUUUUAGCUUUUGGGCAUUCCCUCUUGUAGUUCCCGGUUUCCCGGCAACCGUAACAGGUUCGGCUUGAUCCGGUGUUGGCGACCGACUUGCCUUGUUGGGCAGACGUCCUACAGAAACGGGUGGUAUGCCGAUUUUUGUUACAACUGUUGUAGUGUAUUUCUCGACAAGGACCAUUGUAGUGAAUGUUGCACUUGCUACACUUGGGAAGGUUUCCAACGUAUUGCCUUAGUGGUGCCGGAGUGGAAGGAUUAGUGGAAGCAUGGAUGGUAACAGUUUGUAGCUUCUUGGCGGGGUCCUGUGCCGGUUGCUUUUUCUUUUAUUGUUCCAGAACUUCCUCUUGUUGUUCCUUACUCUUGCUUGAUUAGAGGCGGUUGUCACAGUGCUAUCGCUGGCCCGAUGAUCAAUGAGUUGUUGUGUAAUCUCCUUGGCACUGUUAAAGGUAGUUGUUCUUGAGGCUAACACACUAUUUUCAAUCUGGGGAGACAAUCCCUAGUGGUAUCGCUCCACCUUCUUACUUUCCGGAAGGACCAUCGCUGGACAGAGGAGUGCUAGAUCAUUGAAUCGGGCAGUGUAAGUUGCAAGGUCAGAGCCCGCCAUUUUGAGACACCACAGUUCUUGCUCUAAUUUUUGCACUUCACCCCUUGGGCAAUACUCCUUCAGCAUCAUAGCUUUAAAGUCUUCCCACAUUAUCGAAUUAGCCACGACGAGUGUCAGUGAUUUUAUGUGGCCGUUCCACUAAAUAAGGGCCUUGCCGGUGAAAGUGCAAGCUACAAAUUUCACUUUGCUUGCUUCGGGACGUGCACAGAUCUCGAAGACGGAUUCGGUGUUCUCGAACCAUUGCAUCAAAGUUAUGACGCCCCUGCUUCCGUUGAAAGGAUCGGGUUUUCCAUUUGUGAAGUCCUUAUAUGAAUAUUCUCUCAAACUCCCUUGGCUAUCUCCUUAAGUGGAGUUAUUAGUACCGUCAGUGGUGAUUUGGGACAUAGCAGUUGCCACUGCGGCCGUAAACGCAACUUGGAAAAUGGAACGAUCAUACUGGGAAGGAGGCAGUGGUGUAUUUGUUUGUGUUCUACCAACGCUUCUAGCAGAUCUAUGGGGUGGCAUCUUUCUGCCAUAAAGUUUAAAGGCGAAAUUUAUGUAAGUCUUUUUGUAAUGGUUAUAAAUCGGGUGUCGUAGAACUUGGUUAUUAGUUUUCAAGUAUAGUAUUUCACGACUUUCCAAAGUUUGAAAACAAUUCAAAAUAGGAGUCUAUGUAAAUAAACUUAUGAAUCUAGUAGUAAUGACUCAAAUGUAAUAUUGUGAUCUUUGUUCCAUGCCUGAUCCACUCAUAAGACCACUCGAUGUAUACCAGUUGUGUGUAACUAAGGUUCAAUAGACUGUCGAACUUAAUGAGUCUGACCUAAUCCCAAAACCAAACAAGGAACAAGACCCAAGGCAGACUCACCAUUUCUAAGUCGAUCACCUCUUAGUUACAUAUAAUCUCGAGGUAUAUAUUAAAUAAUCUUAGAGUUACCAUAAGAAAAUUGUUUGUAAUGCUAUGUUAUGAAUUUGGAGGUGAACUCGCAAUGAAAUAAAAUGCAAGCCAAUUUUCAUUAAUACAAUUUAGUACAUGUUCAUAGGAAAAUUUGACCUUAUAGAAGGUCUACAUUAUAUCAAUGUAACAGAAACUUUUGGCAGCACAUUGACCCUUCGACUAGUGUAGCCACUUAGACGCAGGGUCAAACCUACUUGCAGGAAAGAGUAGUCCCAACACAUACUUGUAAACCUAGAUUAUAACAAAAUGUGAGUAGUGCAAGCACUACUCGUGGUGGGUGGUAUCAACUGGUCCAUUGCGGCCUUGACACGAGGUUGAGGCUCCCUGAAGCUCUGCAAUCAGGCGUUCGGCCGCGAUCACUCUUUCCUUGAGAGAUGCGUGCCUUUCCAGGUACUCCCUUACCUCCCCUGAGCGGCGGUAAGGUCCUCGAUGAGUUGGUUAUGGGAUAGAAGUCUUUUUCCAAAUCCCUAGUACGUGCAUCGGUGGCUUCUACAACAACGUUGAGAUCCCGAACUCGAUCUGCCUUUUCCCUAUUCUGGUUCCCCAGGUUCGACUAAGGUCGUAGUAACCCAGUUGAUCGCCAAAUUGUGAUCGUUGUCGUUGUUGACCAAGUCCACACACUUCCUACAAAUGAAGGAGACCGACAAAAUGGAGAAGCUGACCAAUAUGUACAUCAACGAAAUCGUGAGGUUGUAUGGGGUGCCAAAGUCCGCUAUCUCAGACAGGGAUAGUCGAUUUACUUCAGUCACUUCAGAAAUCCUUGGGAACUAGGCUGGAUAAAAGUACAACCUAUCUGUGACAACUCGAAAUUCAUUCCGCUGUGGUAUCCCAUUCCCGUUAAUAGAAUACUUUAUUUUAUUAUUAUUUUUAAGAUUUCCGUUAACAUUUGGGUUAGACAAAUCAACUAAUGAUUUAUUUUAUUUUAGUGUCGAAAUGAAAUAAAUAAAAACACGAGUAAUACCCUCAAAGUUAUUUGGGAAAAAUUUUUAGUUUACAACUAAGUCGGGUUACAACCAUUUAAUUGGGUAAAAAUUUAAUUUCCGUUAAUUGUCGGUAUGCAGUGGAUCCCCACCUGGCCACCAACUCAAGCCCUAUAUAAGGGUUGAGUGGUCACCAUCUUAAACUUUUCACCACUCUAGUUACUCUCUCUCUACUCUCUCUCUCUCUCUCUCUCUCUCUUUCUCUCUUCAAGGCCCGAUUCUUCCAAAAAUCCGCAAGUUUCCGCUCCCAAACUGUAAGUUCUCUUACCCUAGAUUGUUCUAAAGCUCAUUACAUGUCAAUAUAGCUUGAAAAUCAUCCAUGGAGGCCAAGAACAAGGAGUUUACGGCCCAAGAACCCUCUUAGUCCGUAAACCCCUAAAAGGGUGCCAAAAUGCCCCAAAUUCCUUCCUUAGGCUUAGAGCCUAACUUUGAACUUGCCCUUGAAGUGUUUUCGACAUUAAACAUUAUGCUUAGAGGCUUGAAAGAGGGUUUACGGCCCGGGAACACUCUUAGGCCGUAAACUCCCUCUAAUUAUGCAAAUUGAGCCUUAAACCUCCUAUUUACCCUUGGACCUUCACUUAGAAACUAGUAGGAGUGAGCUAAGGACCUCAAAAUCGAAGUACAAGGGGUGUCCAAGAGUUUACGGCUAUAAACCAUGGGGUUCACGACCGUAAACUCCCAAGGAGUGGUCCUAGGACUGCAAACUCCAAGGGAGUGCCCCCUUUUAACCCUAAACACCCCUCAAGCCAUGGAUUAAACCCUAGAANCUUGUGAUGUGAAACCCUUAAGCACUCAAAUGCACUCCUCCCAUGAGUUUACGGCCGUAAACUCAUGGGGGAAUUGGUCCUUCAACCGUAAACUCACCUAGGGUGAGUAUUUGAGGAAUAAACUUCGUAGUGAGGCCUUACACUCCUUCCUUGCAACCUAAUGGCCUCCUAACACUUGACCAAAGCGUUUUUCUUUGCAUUAGUAUGUCUAUACUUGUUUAAUUAGUGUUUAGUCACUAAUUAUAUGUAAACAUAUGUCUUCAUAUGUUUCUAGGGUCCUAGUGUGUGUUCAAGUCUUCACUUGACACCUAGCAUCCUACCCGACAUUCCAUCCACUCCACUCGCUGCAGGUGAGUUCAUACCCCUUAAUUAACCUUUCUAAUGUUUCUUUUAAAUGUUUUAGGGGGGAUACAAGUUAAAUACAAUAAGUUAUAGUAACAAAUCAUAUGUGAAUUAUAACUUGAAAUCAAAGAGGAUUUUUCUAUACUUUUAGCUACUUGUCAACAUAGCUGUUUUAAAUAAUUAUCAACGCAUUUUGUAUGUUAAAUUGAUGUUAAACUAUUUUCAAACUGUUUUUAAACUACUUUUCUUUUAAACUAUAUCUACACCAAUAUAUUUAUAUAAGUAAGACUUGAAGGACUUAGCACCGAUAGCUAGCCUUACUUCCUGUUCUUUUUUGAUUGGGGUCUUAUGGUAUACUGUUAUCUGUCCGACUGUCGUUGAAUUCUUAGUUAUAUAUUCUAUAUAUUUUUGUUAGAUACAAAAGUCUUAAUCUUACUCAUUACCUUUGUAAAUCAAAGGCAUGCAAUCCCACACUCUAUUUAACUAUAAUAGGUAUAGUUAAGACUACUGCUCAUUUCCUCUAUCACUAUGAUACUCACUAUAAUUGCUAUUAUUACAACUUAGUGCAUGUUAAAGACAACACUCUAUAUACUAUACUAAAAAGUUCAUUAUACUAUAAUACAAGAAAAUACAAUAAUCCAGAAUGUGACACACUAUUCCUCUAUAAGGCACUCUACUGUGCAAACACCUUGUAACCAGAGCUUCCCCAAGGGGAAGCAACCACUACAUGUAUAGAUCUAUACAGGAUAGACACUAUUACAUCCCGACUGCUAACUACAGUCUGAGCCGACUAGGCCCAGGGGUGACGAAACAUAACUACACUACGUAUGACCGGGAAGGUCAUCGGAUACUCUACUAUCACUAAGAUUGGUUACAUGAGAAAUCACAUUCGUACCCAAAUUAACACACUAAGAACUAAAGGCUAAACUAACUUCCCAAAGUGAGUGUAUAUACAUAUAUUACUAAACUGAAGCUUGCAACACUACUGUAUCCAGCCGGCAGUAAAAUUGCUAAAAUAAGAUAUUAUCUUUCCUCAUUUACCUUACAUGAAUGAAAUCCAUAAUCUUAUUUUCAUGAUUAACAGUCUCAAUGGAAAGCUUUUACACACUCAAACGAUCAAACUUACAAAUAUGUAAAUCUGGAAAAUAUAGGAUUUUCAAGGGAUUUUACUAUUUUCAAACAUUAAUCACAACUUUUAUAUUACAUGAUUGUGAACACUUUUAUACAAGCAACGACACUAAAUUCUUAUGAACUCACCAGCUUUNUGAUACUCAUUUCAAAAUAACUUGUAUUCUCAGGUCAAAAAUAAAUAGGUACUGAUGCAACCAUUUGAGAAGAUGGAGCAUAUACAAGACCCAUCUUUUAUUUUUGUUUAUACUUUUGGUGUCUAUCAAAACUGUACAGAACACGCUUGUAUUUACAAUCACUAUAUUAAUGCAAUGGUUUUUGUCGCUUGUUUUUACUAUUAUGCAUUGUUAUGAUACUAUACAUGACGUCCUACACCUAGAACGAAUUCCGCCGUUCUCGGUUUUGGGGUGUGACAGAUUGGUAUUAGAGCAUUGUUUAUAGUGAAUCAAGUAUAUCAACCCAUAAAAGAUAUACGAACUAUAAAAACUUCAGGACUAAAACACUCUGACCAAGAAUAUAUACUUUAAAUGCUAAAUUUUUUAAUUAAGUAUAUAUCUACAUUCACCAAUACAAAGGGUCAGUAUCAUACUAGAACAAAACAAAAGUAUUAAGAUUGUUGAAGAGCACAAUUAGGCUUAGAGACAUAUAGUCACAUCUGGUUGGAUGUAGCCUGAUCAACUACAUUUUCCUAGGAGUGACUAGCAUGUGCCUAAGACUGAUUAUGAUGUUGCAACAAGUCUAAAAACUUACCAACACUACCACAAGAACGUUAGAACAAGAAUACUAUAGGAGUAUUAUGCAUUCUGCUAACUACAUAUGUGAUAACUAAAAAGGGUCGUUACUAGUAGGGAAAUAGUUGCUAAGUGGAUACACAACAGUUACAUGUGACUAGGGUGCUAUAGACUUAGAAUCUGUGACCUUUGCUUCAUUUCCUAUUCAUGUUUAAUUGGGGAUCUGGAGUUAGGGUAUCUUAUUCGUGGGACUAUCUUGGUUCGGUUACAUGUAAUUGGUAUGCACUAUGCAAGUAUUAAGUCAACUAAUAACGACCAUCUUAUAAGUAUCCUAGAUUAGUACAUCUAUUAACCUUUCUGACCCCAUUCUCGCAUAGAUAGCAUGGUUGGCUUCCACCUUCCCAGCGAUUCGUAUUAUCCGAACCUAGGAAAUGGAGGAUGGCUCGAUGAGGAGCCAAACGAUGAUCACCCGAUCCCUUUGGAUGAUCACCAUGCUGAAGGCUUUUCGGAUGACUCCGACUCCGAGCCAGAAGUCAACAACCUGCCCCCAGUAGCUCCAAACCCUAACCCCCAUCCGGCAUUUCAAGGUCCCACUCCCAUAUGGGCAAUAACCUUGAACCGAUGGAGCGAUGAUUAGGGUCAACCUUUACCUUUCAACGGAGACCGAAGCUUCAACAACAUAAGCGAGGGAGGUUCAGCGGACCGAGUCUUGCCCAUCAUGGUCCGAAGGAUUGCCAGGAACGUCGAGCAAGGUCACGCAUCUAUUGGCCGAGUUGUGGAAGUUGACGCCAACUCUAACCUCAACACUGUUCGCAUCCGCCAACUGGAAGAAGCUAUGGAUAGGACGAGGAGGACCAAUGAGGCUCUGCAGCAACAGCUAGCUACAUCCCGAGCCGAAGUCAGGGAACUCCGGGCACAUCAAAGAGUACAAGAAAGACAUCUUCAAGAAGUUAUGCGCCAACUGGCUGAUCAUAGGGUUCGCCCAAGGGAUACCCGUCGCCAGUAGAAGAUGUCCACUUAUCUCCCUCUUUUUUUUAAGGAAUAGCCUUUUCAUUUCUAUGCUCGGUAGAGCAGUUGUCUGUAAACAUUCCUAACUUUGGAAGCACUUUACCUAGGCUCCUAGACUGCCAACAUUUUCCAUUAUGGUUUGAUGUAAGGCGUACUGUUAGGUCACUUUUCCUGAACUUAUAUUACAUCAUUAAUACCAGUAAAAUUGGCAGUUACCUACUCUGUUGCUAUGACUCUCUCUGAUUAUUGGGCUAUGCUGAUUUAGUCCAUGAAACACUCUUCUCAUGCUUGCAAUAGACUCUUACUAUUGACAUCAUCUCUAUGAACUUUCAGUAAAAGAUGCCUCCUCGCAAGCGCCCGAACAGAGGCAGACCUGUGACUCAAACCCCACCUCCACCUCCCCCUCUACAGUUCGAACCAGUGAUGUUUCAAACAGCUGUGACCGCAGCUCUGAAGGCAGCCAUGACCCAAAUGAAUUCGGGCGAUGCUAGUGGAUCCGCAAUGGACACCAACUCCAGACAUGGUGAAAUACAUACACAUACACAUGAGUGUACUUAUAAGGAUUUCAUGAACUGCAAACCGACAUUUUUCAAUGGAACCGGAGGAAUCCUUGCUUUGUCCCAAUGGAUUGAAAGGACUGAAGUUGUCUUCGAAAUGUGCUCAUGCCUCGAAGAAAGCAAAAUAAAGUUUGUUGCUGCCACUUUUACUGAGAGGGCCUUGACAUGGUGGAAUGGCCAUGUCAAAUCACUCUCCUUGGUAACAGACAAUGCCAUGGGCUGGUACACACUAAAGGACCUACUGAUGAAUGAGUACUGCCCUAGGGGCGAAAUUCAGAAACUCGAAGAAGAAAUUUGGAACCUCAAGAUGAAGGGGACUGACAUAAUAGCUUAUACUGCUAGGUUCUGCGACCUGGUAGCUAUGUUUCCUAACUUGAUCCCUUCUGAAAGCAAGAAGAUAGAACGAUACAUCUGGGGUUUAGUGCCCGCGUACAGAGGGAACGUGUUAGCAUCAUGCCAUGCGACCUUUGACAGCGCCAAGGAAUUGACCCAAAGGUUGAUUGAUCAUGAAACUCCCUCCACCCCAUCAACAACCACGGCGACUACCACUGCACCACCCCAAAUCAACCGACAACAAGAGGAAGCGUUAGGACUAGAAGAGGGGCAAGAAAACUCAAUACUCCUCCAAAAAUCAACAGGUGGUGGCCGUCCAUGCUGCCACCACUCCUACUGCCCCCGUACCAGCCAAAUCCUAUGUUGGAAACUUACCUAAGUGCCCCAAGUGCCCCUUCCAUCACAACGGCCCCUACCGUGAAUUGCACUACACCAACUGCAACCGGAACGGCCAUACCGUCCGGUUUUGCAGAUCCCAACCCAAACCUAUCUUUCAAGUCCCCAGCUCGGGAGUAAGCCAGGCCUACUAUGGCUGUGGUGAGGUAGGUCAUUUCAAGAAAAACUGUCCAAAGGUUGGGAAUACAGGAGGAACGGGAAGACUACUCGCUAUUGGCCACAAUGAAGCAGUAGCGGACCCCACAGUAGUCACGGGUACGUUCCUUCUCAACAACUCUUAUGUUUGUGUCUUAUUCGAUAGUGGUGAAGAAAGAAGCUUCACAAACCAAAACUUUAAACACUUACUUAAGAAAUCCCCACAACCACUAAAAGAAACAUCUGUCAUAGAAAUGGCUAACGGAAAGACAGAGAGCUCUAACGAAAUCUACAUAGGUUGCACCCUCACGCUAGAUGAUCAUUCAUUCUCAAUUGACCUCAUACCAGUUUCGAUCAAGAGUUUCGAUGUCAUUGUGGGCAUGGACUGGCUGAGUCUCCAUCGUGCGGAUAUACUAUGCUUCAACAAAGCAAUCCGUUUAAAUCUACCAAAUAACGAAACUGUGUUAAUCUACGGAGACAAACCCAGUGCGAGUCUUCGUAUCAUCUCAAGUAUUCAAGCCCAUAAGUACUUAUGUAAAGAGUAUCAUCCAUUCCUUGCACACGUUGUCAACACGACCCAGAAAACGAAAGAUCUAAAAGACUUCCCCGUCGUAUGCGAUUUCCCCGACAUCUUUCCAGAGGAGCUCCUAGGUUUACCUCCCAAACGUCAGGUUGAGUUCAGAACCAACCUAAUCCCAGGGGCUACCCCCGUAGCUAAAUCACCCUAUCGUCUAGCGCCUGCUAAGAUGCAAGAACUGUCCGGUCAACUUAAUGAGCUGCUCAGCAAGGGCUUUAUAAGACCAAGCUUCUCACCCUGGGGAGCACCGGUCUUGUUCGUAAAGAAGAAGGAUGGAUCAUUCCGUAUGUGCAUCGAUUAUAGAGAACUCAACAAGCUGACAGUCAAAAAUCGCUACCCACUUCCCCAUAUAGACGACCUAUUCGACCAACUGCAAGGGGCGAGUGACUUUUCCAAGAUUGAUCUUAGGUCCGGGUACCACCAGUUACGGGUGCUUGAGGAGGAUGUUCCACAAACAGCCUUCCGAACUCGUUACGGACACUACGAGCUCGUAGUAAUGUCGUUCAGACCGACCAACGCGCCCGCAGUAUUCAUGGAUUUAAUGAAAAGGGUUUUCCAUCCUUACUUGGAUCAGUUCGUCAUCAUCUUUAUUGAUGACAUACUCAUCUACUCUCGAAGUAAGGAGGACCAUAGUGAUCACCUACGACAAGUCCUAGAAACCGUACGAUCAGAGAAGCUAUAUGCGAAGUUCUCUAAGUGCGAAUUCUGGAUCCGAAGAGUCGAAUUCUUAGGACACGUGGUUAGCAAGGAAGGAAUCCACGUGGACCCAUCCAAGAUUAAAGAUAUCGAGAACUGGUCAGCACCAAAGACGCCUACAAAAAUUCGUCAAUUUCUAGGCCUCGCUGGCUACUACCACAGAUUCAUUCAGAAAUUCUGUAUGAUCGUGAAACCCCUUACCGCAUUGACCCAGAAAGGCGUGAAAUUUGACUGGGGAGAGAAACAGGAGAAGUCAUUCCAAACCCUAAAAUGCCCCUUAUGCACCGCACCAAUACUCUCCCUCCCUGAAGGGACAGAAGAUUUCGUGGUAUACUGCGAUGCAUCAAACCAGGGGCUUGGUUGUGUUCUGAUGCAACGAGGUAAGGUCAUUGCCUAUGCCUCAAGAAAGCGAAAGACACAUGAGGUCAACUACACCAUGCACGAACUCGAAUUAGGAGCGGUUGUGAUCGCCCUAAAGAUCUGGAGACAUUAUCUGUACGGUACGAAGAGCACGAUAUACACCGACCACAAAAGUCUACAACACAUAUUCAAACAGAAGGAUCUCAACAUUAGACAACGAUGGUGCGUCAAGCUACUGAAUGAUUAUGAAUGCAAAAUUCGCUACCAUCCAGGUACAACCAAUGUGGUAGCGGACGCCCUAAGCCGGAAAUAACAUUCUGGUCGAAGAGUCAAGUCGUUACAAUGACUAUCCAUUCGCAUCUCUCCGCACAUAUUAAGGAAUCUCAACUCGAAGGGUUGAAGCCUGAAAAUGUGACGGGAGAAUCCCUACAAGGAAUGGAUAAGAACUUCGAGGUCAAGAGUGAUGGAGCCUUGUAUCUCAUGGACCGAAUCUGGACACCGCGUCACGGUGGUUUCAGAGACUUGGUCAUGAAGGAAGCACACAACACUUGAUAUUCCGUCCACCCGGGUUUAGAUAAGAUGUAUCUGGAUCUUAAAAAGUCAUACUGGUGGCCUAACAUGAAAGCAGAGAUUGCUACCAUCGUGAGUAAAUGCCUUACUUACGCGAAGGUCAAUGUCGAAUACCAGAAGCCAUCAGGUCUACUACAGCAACUGGAGAUACCUGAAUGGAAGUGGGAGCGAAUCACUAUGGAUUUCAUAACCAAGCUACCCAAGACAACAGGUGGGCUUGAUACCAUAUGGGUCAUCAUCGACAGAUUAACCAAGUCCGCGCACUUCCUACCCAUCAAAGAGAAAGAUAAGAUGGAGAAGCUCACAAGAACAUACAUUAAGGAAAUCGUACGACUGCAUGGUGUCCCUAUAUCUAUAAUCUUCGAUAGAGAUAAUAGGUUCACUUCGAGAUUUUGGCAAUGACUGCAAAACGCAUUAGGGAUGAGGCUGGACAUGAGUACAGCCUACCAUGCACAGACCAACGGACAAAGUGAGAGAACUAUCCAAACCCUGGAAGAUAUGCUGCGAGCCUGUGUGAUCGACUUUGGUAAGGCAUGGGAUACCCACUUACCCCUUGUCGAGUUUUCCUACAACAACAGCUAUCACACGAGCAUAAAGGCAGCCCCAUUCAAAGCCCUCUACGGCCGAAAGUGCAGAUCGCCUAUGUGUUGGGCUGAGGUGGGUGACACUCAGUUAGCUAAUGGAAGAGUUCCUGACAGCGCUCUCACGGGUCCGGAAAUCAUUCGAGAAACGACUGAGAAGAUCGUAGAAAUUUGCGAACGAUUAAAAGCCGCUAUAGAUCGAUAGAAAAGCUACGCAAAUAAACGAAGAAAACCCUUGGAAUUCCAUGUGGGAGACCGAGUCCUUUUAAAAGUCUCACCCUGGAAAGGAACGAUACGCUUUGGAAUGCGGGGAAAGCUGAAUCCAAGGUACAUAGGGCCCUUCGAGAUUCUCGCUAGAAUCGGCCCCGUAGCUUACAAACUUAACCUACCCCAGGAACUCAGUAACAUACACCCUACCUUCCACGUCUCGAACUUGAAUAACUGCCUAUCCGACGAGACUCUCUUAAUCCCACUCGACGAGAUCGAGGUCAAUGAGAGCCUCAACUUCGUGGAAGAGCCUGCGGAGAUCAUGGACCGAGAGGCCAAACGAACGAAACUAAGCCGCAUCCCAAUUGUGAAGGUUCGCUGGAACGCUAAACGAGGACCGGAGUUCACUUGGGAGCGCGAGGAUCAAAUGAAACUCAAUUAUCCCCAUCUCUUUGCUUAGUUGUAUUGUAAUAACUUAGCUGCUUAAAUUCUAAAUUUCAGGACGAAAUUUCCUCUAACGGGGGGAUGAUGUGACAACUCGAAAUUCAUUCCGUUGCGGUAUCCCAUUUCCGUUAAUAGAAUACUUUAUUUUAUUAUUAUUAUUAAGAUUUCCCUUAAAAUUUGGGUUAGACAAAUCAACUAAUGAUUUAUAUUAUUUUAGUGUCAAAAUGAAAUAAAUUAAAACACGAGUAAUACCCUCAAAGUUAUUUGGGAAAAAAUUUUAGUUUACAACUAAGCCGGGUUACGACCAUUUAAUCGGGUAAAAAUUUAAUUUCCGUUUAAUGUCGGUAUGGAGUGGAUCCCCACCUGGCCACCAACUCAAGCCUUAUAUAAGGGUUGAGUGGUCACCAACUUAAAGUUUUUACCACUCUAGUUACUCUCUCUCUACUCUCUCUCUCUCUCUUUCUCUCUUCAAGGCCCGAUUCUUCCAAAAAUCCGCAAGUUUCCGCUCCCAAACUGUAAGUUCUCUUACCCUAGAUUGUUCUAAAGCUCAUUACAUGUCAAUAUAGCUUGAAAAUCAUCCAUGGAGGCCAAGAACAAGGAGUUUACGGCCCAAGAACCCUCUUAGGCCGUAAACCCCUAAAAGGGUGCCACAAUGCCCCAAAUUCCUUCAUUAGGCUUAGAGCCUAACUUAGAACUUGCCCUUGAAGUGUUUUAGACAUUAAACAUUAUGCUUAGAGGCUUGAAAGAGGGUUUACGGCCCAGGAACACUCUUAGGCCGUAAACUCCCUCUAAUUAUGCAAAUUGAGCCUUAAACCUCCUAUUUAGCCAUGGACCUUCACUUAGAAACUAGUAGGGGUGAGCUAAGGACCUCAAAAUUGAAGUACAAGGGGUUUCCAAGAGUUUACGGCUAUAAACCAUGGGGUUCACGACCGUAAACUCCCAAGGAGUGGUCCUAGGACUGCAAACUCCAAGGGAGUGCCCCCUUUUAACCCUAAACACCCCUCAAGCCAUGGAUUAAACCCUAGAACUCUUCCUUGUGAUGUAAGAAACCCUUAAGCACUCAAAUGCACUCCUCCCAUGAGUUUACGGCUGUAAACUCAUGGGGGGAUUGGUCCCUCCACCGUAAACUCACCUAGGGUGAGUAUUUGAGGAGUAAACUCCAUAGUGAGGCCUUACACUCCUUCCUUUCAACCUAAUGGCCUCCUAACACUUGACCAAAGCGUUUUUCUUCACAUUAGGAUGUCUAUACUUGUUUAAUUAGUGUUUAGUCACUAAUUAUAUGUAAACAUAUGUCUUCAUAUGUUUCUAGGGUCCUAGUGUGUGUUCAAGUCUUCACUUGACACCUAGCAUCCUACCCGACAUUCUAUCCACUCCACUCGUUGCAGGUUAGUUCAUACCCCUUAAUUAACCUUUCUAAUGUUUCUUUUAAAUUUUUUAGGGGGGCAAUACAAGUUAAAUACAAUAAGUUAUUGUAUUAAAUCAUAUGUGAAUUAUAACUUGAAAUCAAAGAGGAUUUUUCUAUAGUUUUAGCUACUUGUCAACAAAACUGUUUUAAAUAAUUAUCAACGCAUUUUCAAUGUUAAAUUGAUGUUAAACUAUUUUCAAACUGUUUUUAAACUACUUUUCUUUUAAACUAUAUCUACACCAAUAUAUUUAUAUAAGUAAGACUUGAAGGACUUAGGACCGAUAGCUCGCCUUACUUCCUGUUCUUGUUUGAUUGGGGUCUUAUGGUAUACUGUUAUCCGUCCGACUGUCGUUGAAUUCUUAGUUAUAUAUCAUAUAUAUUUGUGUUCGAUACAAAAGUCUUCAUCUUAUUCAUUACCUUUGUAAAUCAAAGGCAUUCAAUUCCACACUUUAUUUAACUAUAAUAGGUAUAGUUAAGACUACUGCUCAUUUCCUCUAUCACUAUGAUACUCACUAUAAUUGCUAUUAUUACAAGUUAGUGCACAUUAAAGAGAACACUCUAUAUACUAUACUAAAAAGUUCAUUAUACUAUAAUAGAAGAGAAUACAAUAAUCCAGAAUAUGACACACUAUUCCUCUAUACGACACUCUACUGUGCAAACACCGUGUAACCAGAGCUUCCCGAAGGGGAAGCUGAUGGGUUUUAGCCAUAUGAACAUUCCUGUGUGCACAUGCAACCCUAAUGCUUGGAUCUAGGUUUUUCUAAUUGAAUAUGCAUUCAAUCCAAGACUUCUAAUGGCUAAUAUAGUAUAAUAACAAUAUGAAAUCAGAGAUUAGAAGUUUACCUUGAAUCACUUGCUUGAUCUUCUUGUCCUUGAGGCUUUAGAGUCAUAAUUGUCACUCCUCUAAUGGCUUACAAACACCAACUAGCAAGAAGAUGAUUUAGGAGAGAGAAGAGAGGAUCAAAUCGGCCAGGGAUUCUUCUCAAAGCACAAGUCACCAAAUCCCUUAGCCUUUGGGGUCUAUUUAUACUUGUAAGGCUCCUAGGGUUUUACCCUUAAACCCUAAUUGGAUAACUUAAGCCCUAAGCAAUCCAAAUCCUUUCCAUGAUAAGCCUUGGACGAUUUUAUGGCUAUCCUUAGCCCUAGAAAUCGUCCACCUCUUAUCCUUAAAGGAUUAAUAGCCCAAAGUGUAACUAUAAAACAAUUGACAGUUUAUACCCGUUUAUUUAAUUAAUCUCUUUAAGUCACCAAAUUAUUUCCUAAUUAAUUUAUGACUUAUAUUAAUCAAAUAAUAAUAUUAUUAUUCUUUAUAUUAUUCUCAUAAUAUAUUAAUAAUAUUCUUUCUCUCAUAAUAAAUCAUCCUAUCAAGUUGCUAUGGUGAAGGCAACCCAAAAGGACCAUGCACAACCGGGUCAAAUACUUGCCUAAUAUAGUUGCAGCCUUAGACACUAUUCCAACAGUCUUCCACUUGGAUAAGUCUAGUAACUAUAUGCUCAAGUACAAUCCGAUUUGCAAUCGUAGCUCUCAAAGACGCUGUCAAACUCUGAUCUAAUCAAUCNNNNNNNNNNNNNNNNNNNNNNNNNNNNNNNNNNNNNNNNNNNNNNNNNNNNNNNNNNNNNNNNNNNNNNNNNNNNNNNNNNNNNNNNNNNNNNNNNNNNNNNNNNNNNNNNNNNNNNNNNNNNNNNNNNNNNNNNNNNNNNNNNNNNNNNNNNNNNNNNNNNNNNNNNNNNNNNNNNNNNNNNNNNNNNNNNNNNNNNNNNNNNNNNNNNNNNNNNNNNNNNNNNNNNNNNNNNNNNNNNNNNNNNNNNNNNNNNNNNNNNNNNNNNNNNNNNNNNNNNNNNNNNNNNNNNNNNNNNNNNNNNNNNNNNNNNNNNNNNNNNNNNNNNNNNNNNNNNNNNNNNNNNNNNNNNNNNNNNNNNNNNNNNNNNNNNNNNNNNNNNNNNNNNNNNNNNNNNNNNNNNNNNNNNNNNNNNNNNNNNNNNNNNNNNNNNNNNNNNNNNNNNNNNNNNNNNNNNNNNNNNNNNNNNNNNNNNNNNNNNNNNNNNNNNNNNNNNNNNNNNNNNNNNNNNNNNNNNNNNNNNNNNNNNNNNNNNNNNNNNNNNNNNNNNNNNNNNNNNNNNNNNNNNNNNNNNNNNNNNNNNNNNNNNNNNNNNNNNNNNNNNNNNNNNNNNNNNNNNNNNNNNNNNNNNNNNNNNNNNNNNNNNNNNNNNNNNNNNNNNNNNNNNNNNNNNNNNNNNNNNNNNNNNNNNNNNNNNNNNNNNNNNNNNNNNNNNNNNNNNNNNNNNNNNNNNNNNNNNNNNNNNNNNNNNNNNNNNNNNNNNNNNNNNNNNNNNNNNNNNNNNNNNNNNNNNNNNNNNNNNNNNNNNNNNNNNNNNNNNNNNNNNNNNNNNNNNNNNNNNNNNNNNNNNNNNNNNNNNNNNNNNNNNNNNNNNNNNNNNNNNNNNNNNNNNNNNNNNNNNNNNNNNNNNNNNNNNNNNNNNNNNNNNNNNNNNNNNNNNNNNNNNNNNNNNNNNNNNNNNNNNNNNNNNNNNNNNNNNNNNNNNNNNNNNNNNNNNNNNNNNNNNNNNNNNNNNNNNNNNNNNNNNNNNNNNNNNNNNNNNNNNNNNNNNNNNNNNNNNNNNNNNNNNNNNNNNNNNNNNNNNNNNNNNNNNNNNNNNNNNNNNNNNNNNNNNNNNNNNNNNNNNNNNNNNNNNNNNNNNNNNNNNNNNNNNNNNNNNNNNNNNNNNNNNNNNNNNNNNNNNNNNNNNNNNNNNNNNNNNNNNNNNNNNNNNNNNNNNNNNNNNNNNNNNNNNNNNNNNNNNNNNNNNNNNNNGAUUUUAUGGCUAUCCUUAGCCCUAGAAAUCGUCCACCCCUUAUCCAUAAAGGAUAUAUAGCCCAAAGUGCAACUAUCAAACAAUUGACAGUUUAUACCCCUUUAUUUAAUUAAUCUCUUUAAGUCACCAAAUUAAUUCCUAAUUAAUUUAUGACUUAUAUUAAUCAAAUAAUAAUAUUAUUAUUCUUUAUAUUAUUCUCAUAAUAUAUUAAUAAUAUUCUUUCUCUCAUAAUAAAUCAUCAUGUCAAGUUGCUAUGGUGAAGGCAACGCAAAAGGACCAUGCACAACCGGGUCAGAUACUUGCCUAAUAUAGUUGCAGCCUUAGACACUAUUCCAACAGAGCCAACCACUACAUGUAUAGAUCUAUACAGGAUAGACACUAUUACAUCCCGACUGCUAACUACAGUCUUAGCCGACUAGGCCCAGGGGUGACGAAACAUCACUACACUACGUAUGACCGGGAAGGUCAUCGGACACUCUACUAUCACUAAGAUUGGUUACAUGAGAAAUCACAUUCGUACCCAAAUUAACACACUAAGAAUUAAAGGCUAAACUAACUUCCCAAAGUGAGUGUAUAUACAUAUAUUACUAAACUGAAGCUUGCAACACUACUGUAUCCAGCCGGCAGUAAAAUUGCUAAAAUAAGAUAUUAUCUUUCCUCAUUUACUUUACAUGACUGAAAUCCAUAAUCUUAUUUUCAUGAUUAACAGUCUCAAUGGAAAGAUUUUACACACUCAAAGGAUCAAACUUACAAAUAUGCAAAUCUGGAAAAUAUAGGAUUUUCAAGGGAUUUUACUAUUUUCAAACAUUAAUCACAGCUUUUAUAUUACAUGAUUGUGAACACUUUUAUACAAACAACGACACUAAGUUCUUAUGAACUCACCGGCUUUAUGCUGAUACUCGUUUUCAAAAUAACUUGUAUUCUCGGGUCAAAAAUUGACAGGUACUGAUGCAGCCUUUUGAGAAGAUGGAGCAUAUACAAGACCCAUCUUUUAUUUUUGUUUAUACUUUUGGUGUCUAUCAAAACUAUACAGAACACGCUUGUAUUUACAAUCAGUAUAUUAAUGCAAUGGUUGUUGUCGCUUGUUUUUACUAUUAUGCAUUAUUAUGAUACUAUACAUGACGUCCUCCACCCCAGAACGAAUUCCUCCGUUCUCGGUUUUGGGGUGUGACACUAUCACCCACAAACUGACGGGCAAAGUGAGAGCACCAUACAGACGCUAGAAGACAUGCUUAGGGCAUGUGUGAUAGACUUUGGUAAAGCUUGGGAUACCCAUUUACCACUUGUCGAAUUCUACUGUGAUAUCACUUUUUAAUCAAGUCAAAGUCAAAUAAAGUCUACAAGUCAAACUGGUCAACUCAAUUAACCCUUGUAUAUUAGGGUUUAAAUUAUGCUUAUGAUUCUACAACUCAUUAUCUUAAUGAAAAGUAUCACUUUGAGUUAUCACAUGUUCAGAAAAUUUAAGGCCUAAUCAGGGUAAAUGAUGUAACUACUCGAUAAAAUACUAUUACAUACCCUUCGGGGGCGUAUAACACUCAUAACAAGGAUUAUCGGGGCUUGCGAACCUUGCAUUUCGAGGCUAAACACUCACAAAUGUCACAAAUAAAGUCUCUCUAAAUAUCUCUCACUCUAUCUCUCUCUCUCACAAAUAUCUCCCAAAUCUCUCUCAAAAUCUCCUUCAACUUUUUAUAAUCAUUCGGGGCAUCCCGACCCAUAACUUAGUCAAAAAUGAAUCGAAACGGAAGGACUACUCGAAAAACAGCCAUCUAGGUCCGAAACCCCUAUAUAAGCCGAAGCCUCCGUCUAAAAAUGAAAAUUGGCCUUAAUUUAUGAUGGUUGUAUUUACUUUGAGCACUAUUAUAUUCUUGUUGUGAUACUAUACAUGAAGUCUGCCACCCCCGGACAUUUCUGCCAUCUUUGGUUUGGGGGUGUGACAAUUACCGGCAGUUGAACAAGUUAACGGUGCAGAACCGUUUUUCCUUUCCGCGAAUUGAUGACCUCUUUGAACAGUUUCAGGGUGCAUUUUGGUUCUCCAAGAUAGAUCUAAGGUCUGGGUAUCAUCAGGUGAGAGUAAUAGAGGAGGAAGUGGAGAAGAGCACGUUCCGCACUCAUUAUGGGCAUUACAAGUAUGUGGUGAUGCCAUUUGGGCUCACCAAUGCACCUGUUUUCUUUAUGGAUUUGAUUAAUCAGGUAUGCAGGCCGGUGCUCAUCAAAUCUGUUAUCGUAUUGAUUCAUGAUAUCUUGGUGUAUUGUGUCACACCCCCGAACCAAACGGCGGAAACGUCCGGGGGCUGUCGUGACUUUAUUGAAUACCAUAACAUUGAAUAUAUAUGAAACAUAACAUCAUUCAUCACCAUGCAUUAAUAUAGUACAACUGAUAAAGUUUACACUGAGUACAUUGUCUUAGCAUUACAUUCCCAAAAAAAAAAUUUAUUCGGUUCAUAGAUAAACUAACUGCAAGCCAUCACUGAGUACAUUUUUCCUUCGGUUUACUAGUUACCUGAGAAUACAAGUAUUUUGAAAAACGUCAACAUAUGAAAUGUUGGUGAGUUCAUAAGCGGUAUUUGAAAAAAAACAACGUUUUGUAUUGCUUUGAAAAACUACCAGAAAAUCUGAUAUUUUCUGAAAAGAGUUUAUGAAAAGUUUGUGAAGAUCCAUAAGUAUGCUUGUUUGUUUCUAUAGUUGUAAAAAAAAAAAUUGUUUAUUAAACUUGUAUACAUUUCGAAACCGUAUGUACUGAAAAACCCUAGGAAAACCCGAUGUUUUCCUAACACUUUGAAUUCCAUGUAGUUGUUGUACCAUCGCGGCGUGUGAAGUCAUUGAUUCCAGGCGACGUCGGAUUAUUGCGCAUGGUGAAUUGCUAUAAACACGCGUUACGCAAACGAUUAGUUUACAACUAUACUAACGAUCCCGUAGGCGUCGUCCGUACUAUUCACGUAAUCCAACCGCCCUGACUUCUUGUAGUCCCACAUCCGAAGAGAAAGAGGGCACGAAGACCUCGAUAACUCCGUUAGUCGGUUGGGGAUAAAAAGAGUGCGAAGGGCCCUUGACCCGACUCGCAUUAGAAUAACCGACUUUACUAGCAGUACCAAAGGACCCUUGGGGACCAAUAGUAUAAAAGCCAUUGAAAGUCCUUUUACGCUGUGUUGGAUCAUGUAAGACCCAACAACUCGUAAGGUUGAAGUCUUCGGGCCUAAAGAUCAGGUCAUUGGGCUAGCUAGGCCCAACAAACAAGAUUUUACACUUUGGGGCCCAAAGAUGGUGCGUCGACGUCUGUGCACUCUCACGUGUGUAUUGAAUUCCCAAAUGUUACUUGUAUGAAUCGAGUUAUCGUCGUGUUAGUAGUUUCGGGUUGUUAUUGAUUCGAGACCGAAUCAAUUCGUUUAACAACGAUUUUUGGUAUUGUUGUGUAUUGUAUUUCGUCGGUAGUCGCGGUGCCAAUAUUUGAUCACGAUGGGUGUAUUGAAUUAGCCUUGAAAAUUUUCUGUUUUCAGCCCCUCUUUAUUUUGUAAAUUUACUUUUUCAACCCUUUGCAUAAAUAAAUUUCCGGUUUAGUCCUUAAACUAUUUUUCUUGGCAUUUUAACAUCAAAACUUAUUGGAAUUGAUAUUUUUCAGCACAUUUUUAGUUGAAAACAGUUUUAGUCCCUGAAAAUACAGUUUUCUCGGUUGUAACCCCUCUUUUUCGCAGUUUUUACAAUUUUGGCCCAAAUUGGAAAAUUUUUGCAACUUUGGUCCUUUUUAAAUUUGAAAAGCAUUUUAAACCUUAGAAAAGGACUUGGAACACUAGUAGUCCACUGUUUUACAGAAAAACACAGUUUUGGCCCUUCAAAACAGAAAAUUUCGCAUAUUGGGCCCUAUUGGGCCAAAAAUGCCAUUUUUAGCCCAUUAAGCUUGAAAUUUAUAUUUUUAAUCCUCCAAAAGAAUGUAUUUCCAGAAAACACUUUAUUGAAACUGUUUUGACUCAUCUCACCCAUCAGAAUUCGUAAUAUGUCAUUUUGGGCCCUUUAACUUUAUAUUUUUAACAUUUUGUGUCCAAAAAUUGAGUUUUUAGCCCAAGGAAGAUGUUAUUAAGCCACUUAGCUAUUUUUCUUGAAAUACUUUGUAUGUAGAAAUAUAAUUGAUGCUAGUAUCAUUUAACAUAAAGUAUAUCUCGAUUUUUAGGGGCUUAUGACUAGAUCCAACAUCAUAAUCACACAAAAACACACAUAUAAGCAUAGAAAUCAUACAAGGCAUACAAAAUACAUAUAGAUCUACACUUUCACUUGUAUUCCCCCCCCCCAUAAAACUUAUAAAACAGAAAAAUAGGGAGUAUGAAGCUCACCUUAGGGUGUAGUUUCGGUUUUUGAAGAAAAGAUGGAAGAAAACUUGGUGAUUUUUGGCCCUAGCUCCCCUUGAUGAAGAUCUCGAGUUUAUGGAGUUUUCUAGGAUGUAAGAUCACGAUUUUUGCAUGGAUUAGGAAGAGAUUUUUGAUAAAACAAAGAAUCUAAGUCAUGGAUCCAAGCAUAACCUUACCUUAGAUGAAGAGUUUGUGGAAAUAUCCUCUUGAAAACCUCCUAAUUUUCGAGAUUUUUGAAUGGAGAGGAAGGAUGAUUUCUUGAGUAAUCUAGAGAGAGUUUGUGAGGUGUGUGUGUGUGGGUUAUUCUCGGCCGAAACAAGAAGGGAGAGGGAGAGAGAGAAGAAGAGACCUUGAGGUGAUGUUUGCAUGGAAGAAUGAGAAUACAUGGAUGUUUGAAGGGUAAUACUUAGAUAUACACCAUGCAAAGAUGAUGUGUCAUGCAAGAAGUCAACUCCUCCCUUUUAUUUGGGCUUGGGCCGAGAAUGGUGGGGGAAAAGAGAAUGUUUGGGCCUUAAAUGCUUAAGCCCAAUUUUCAUGGUUAUGUUGAGUGAUUUUUGGUCCAAAUAAAUAUAAAGGUGAUUUUUAUGAAUUGUUAGGGAUAAAUUAGGUUAAUUAUGGUUCAUAGUUAUUAAUUUAUUUCAUUCUAGGCCCAAUGUAGCCCAAAAUGUUGAAAUAAUUGGAUGUGGGUCCAAUUAGAGCCCAUUUAAGGGUUCUAAGCCCAUGAUAGUCAAAUUGGAAGCUUAUUGGGCCAUUGAGUCCAAUAAGGAAGUCCUAGCCCAAAAUGGACCUAAACAAGAACUUCUAGGGUGUCCAAUUGCUUAAUGACUAUUUGUAGUAUUUGUAUGAUGUACUGAUUGAAGUUUUUGAUGCCAUAAUAAUAGGUAUCACACAUGUUCUUAAGUUUUUGAUUCAACAUUUUACUUAAGUAUUGUGAUUACAAGACACAAAAUUUCUAGUUGUGACAUAUUACCAGUCCAAAGAGCAGCAAGAGGAGCACCUUCAAGAGCUUUUACGAGUUUUGAGCGGGAGCAACUUUAUGCCAAGUUCUCGAACUACGAGUUUUGGCUUUGAGAGGUCCAGUUCCUGGGGCACCUCGUUAACCAGGGGCACCUAGUUAACCAGGAUGGGAUUUUUGUCGAUCCUUCCAAGAUUGAGGUUGUGAUGCAGUGGGAGGUUCCCAAAUCUCCCUUAGAAAUCAGGAGUUUCUGGGGUUUGGUAGGGUACCAUCAGAUAUUAAUUUAGUACAUCUCCAAGAUUGCGGUACCCCUCACUCAUCUGACGUGGAAGGGGGUGGAUUUCCGAUGGGGCCCUAAGUAGUUAUCAUCGUUUGAGACUCCUCAACAGAGGUUAUCUAAGGCCCCGGUAUUGAUCCUCCCAGAGGAGAUUGAGGAUUCUGUGCUAUUCUGUGAUGCAUCAAUAACCGUUUUGGGGUGGUCCUCAUGCAGAGAGGACGAGCGACAGCUGAAACCGCAUGAGACACGAUAUCCCACGCAUGACCUAGAGUUAGGGGAAGUGGUUUUUUCCAUCAAGAUUUAGGGACAUUAUCUUUAUGGGGUCCGUUGUAAGGUCUACACGAAUCACAAGAGUUUGAGAUAUCUUAUGGUAAGCUGAACCUGAACAUGAGGCAGCGCAAGUGGCUGGAUGUGGUAAAGGAUUAUGACUAUGAGAUCCUUUACCAUCCUAGUAAUGAAAAUGUGGUAACAAAUGCUUUGUGCCGCAAGUCGGUUGGGUCUUCGGUUGGGGAGACAUGUAUGAUGAUAUCUGUUGAUGCUACGCUAUUGGGAUUGAUCAGAGAGGCUCAGGAAGAGGGAGUUUGGAAAGAGAACUUGAAACGGGAAAGGAUCAAGGGUGAGAUUGAGCAGUUUGCUAUUGAUAGUCGAGGGUUAUUGACUCGUUGUGGUCGGCUUUAGGUUCUAGUUUCUGAUGGGAUUAGGCAGAUAGUGUUAUAUUAGGCUCAUAAGUCUUGCUUUUCUAUACACCCAAGAGCCACCAAGAUGUAUGGGGAUUUGAGAUUAAGCUACUGGUGUUCGUGUAUGUACAGGGAGACAACCUAGUAUGUUGAGAGGUGUUUUUCCUGCAGGAUGGUCAAGGCCGAGAAUUAGAGGCCGCAUGGAAAGCUGCAACCUCUAGAGGUUCCCAUAUGGAAGUGGGAACAGUUCACCAUGGACUUUAUCACCAGGUUUCCAAAAACGGCAAAGGGUUUUGAUGCUAUAUGGGUCAUCGUGGAUCGAUGACGAAGAGUGCCCACUUUUUGGCUAUCUGGGAGAGUUAGUCGGACGAAAAGUUGGCUGAUAUUUAUGUCGGGGAGAUCAUUGCUUUUCAUGGGGUUCUAUUUUCCAUUGUUUUUGACCGAGAUGUUCCGUGCACUUCCUGAUUCUGGCAGAAGUUCCUCGGGGAAUUGGGCAUGAGGUUAUUUCAACACUGCAUAUCAUCUGCGGACCGACUGCCAUAGUGAGCAGGCUAUACAGACCCUUGAGGAUAUGUUGCGGGCCUAUGUUAUUGAUUUUGGUAGGAGUUGGGAUUCAUACGUACCUCUUGUAGAGUUCUCCUACAACAAUAGUUAGCACUCCAGUAUUGGUGUCUGCCAUUUGAACUCUUUUAUGGUCGGAGAUGUCGUACCCCAGUUUCUUAGGGAGAGGUUGGUCAUAGGAUCCGGGGAAGGACCAAAUUAGUCCUUCAGACCACAGAGCUUAUCCAACAGACUUGGCAGAGACUGCAGACCACUCAAAGUCGGAAGAAGAGUUAUGCCGACCAAUUCCAAUCAUGGAUGGAAUUCCAGGUCGGUGAUAUGGUGCUCCAGAAGGUCUCGCCUUAGAAGGGUGUGAUACACUUCAGGAAGAGGGAGAAAUUGGGUUCCGAUAUAUUGGACCUUUUUGGGUGAUUGUCAGGGUUGACAAGGUAGCUUACAGGUUGGAUUCGUCGAGCAAGCUCAUAUAGACCCACAACACUUUCCAUGUUUCUCUGUUGCGGAAGUGUGUGUUGGACAACGAGGCAGUGAUUCCGUCGAAUUAUAUUCAGGUCGAUGAGAAUCUGAACUAUGUUGAGAGACCGAUCGCUAUUCUGGAAAAGAAGAUCAAGGUCCUACUUAGCAACGGGAUACCUUCGGUAAAGGUAUAGUGGCAGCAAUAGAGAGGCUUCAAGUGGACUUAAGAGCUGGAGGAUGAGAUGCAGGAGCAUUAUCCUAAGCUAUUCGCUACGGCAGACAUCAAGGACGAAGUCUAGUUUAUGUGGGGGAUAAUUGUAACAUUCUUAUGAUAAGGUACUUCUAUUUUUAACCCUAUGAGUUAACUAUGUUUCAUUUUGGUCCCUAAGUUGAAUAAAGUGUGCAAAAGGGCCCUAGUGUCAUUUUCCUAAAAAUAACCUUGUGGGAGUACCCCAUGCAUACGCGUUUACAAUGAGCGUACUAGAGUAUGCCCUAGUAUGCUGAGCAUAUAUCUUGUAAGCGGGGCGUACUUUCCAGAUAUGAAAACCCUAAUUUUUAGGGUUUAGCUCGAAUGUAAACCCCAUUAUAGCCUCAUUUCCCCUCACCUCAUCAUCCACCUUACUCUUAGAUCGUUCUUGAAACCAUAAUUUGCCUUAUCGUGCCAUUCCAAGCUUAAGAGUGUGUGUUUUGUGCUUUAAGGAAGAAGGAAGGCAGUAAAGCUCACCUUGGAGGAGUGAAGCACUUUGGAUCUGGGAUUUGUACCUUCUUGGCAACCUUUUUAGGGUAUGAAGCUUGAAACUUUAUCCCUCCAUCAUAUAGGUCUAGAAAUGGGUGUUUUAAUGAUGUUGUUUGGUCCAAAAUGUUAAAUCUUGAGCAUGACAUGUUCUUUAUUCAUUAUGUGUAUUCUCAGACGUUAAUAUUGGACUUAAGUCAUAGAGAUGGAGUCCUAAUGGUUGGUUUUGGUCCCAUGCAUGUCGUUGAGAGUCUUAAGUCAUUAAGAUGUUGGGUUUUCAUGGGUUAAGCACUUAUUGAGCAUGCAAGGUCAUAAAUUUGGAAACUUUAUGACUACUAAUGAUAUUUUGACCUUGCAUUUGUAUUUAGAUGUGUUAAGUCGUUAUAUUAAGCACUUAAUCCCAAAAAGUAGAAGUAUGGGGUUACGUUGAGCGUACCUUGGAGUACACCCAUCAUAGGCAGUUAAUGACCACGAUAUGGUCAAACAGAGGAGUACGCCCAAUGUACCUCAAGAGUAUGCCCCGCUUACUCACUCUGAGUUGACUCGGCUGGGUUGAGUCAGUUGAUUGGACCAGUUUGGCUUUGACUUUGACCAAGUUUGACCUUAAGGGUUUUUUAGGUAUAUUAGGAUUUUGAUUGAGAUUGGUCAUUUGGUUGGAAUAGGUGUCAGUUAGAGUUGAGAUUCGGAGUCGAGACCUCAUCAUCUUUUGCCUAGUCUGUGAGGUGAGUUUUCCUCACUGUACUUUCGGGUCGAAGGCACCAAGGUCGGCCCGUUGGUUUGAUAUCCUGAUAUAUACACUUAUAUCCUUAUUAUGGAAUAGAUACAUAUGCUUAUGCUAGAUGCUGAUAUGGUAUUCUGGUAUAUCUGUAGGACUACCUGUGUUUCUGUCAACAUAAUUAUUUGUAUAUGUUUGUUAUCUAUUAUAUAUGUCGACAUGUUGUGGUGGGUUAAGGUUGUACUGCUUCGUGUGGUAGCCAGCAAACCCUAGAGCAUUCCACAUAUAAGUUGAGGGCCUGGUAGGGCAUUCCAAACUUAUUGUAACAUCCGGAAUCUAGAAGGUUAAUUAUGGAAAUAAAACCUCAUUUCUAAAGGCCAACUCGUCGAGUUUGGGGGAAGAAACUCGACCUGUUGUAAGUGUUGGUCACACGUGUUUUUGAAGACCAACUUGACGAGUUGGAGAGUACCAACUCAACAAGUUUGACGUGGUUUGGGAAACCCUAAUUUCGUUUUUUUACACACUAUCUAAACAACUUAAACCCCAUUUAUUGGCCUCAUUUCCAUCCACCAUUGUCCUAAACCCAAACCUCAAAACCCUAAGGAAUUUUUGAGUGUUAUGAGCCAUUUUGAGUGCUUUUGUGGUGUGUUUGAAGCCAUCGGAAGGAAGGGAAGCUUGGUAAGAGUUGGUGAUACAAGAAGGAGCUGCUUGAUCUCGUAUCCUUGCUUCAUUUCGACAGUUUUCUGGUAAAAAGUCUCAACCUUGCUUUUAUGAAUUCAUAGAUCUCCUUCUUAUUGUUGUUUUUUGAAUGUUUUUGUUCAAAUGGAGUAGUCGUUCGGAGUUGGACGUCUCAUUUGUACAAACCAUUUCAAAUCUAAGGUCUUAGGGAGCUCUUUUGGCAUAAAUGUGCCAACUUUAUGGUCUUAAGGGCUCCAUGCAUCCGUUAAGCCUUUCUUCUAGCUUAUUUUGAGCUUUUGAGCUUCUUCUAUCCUUGCAUAAGAGUAAACUUGGAGACUUUACUCAUUAAUAUAGCCUUAUGGGAACAGAUCUGCAAUUUGAAGCCUUAUCUUGAUGAUUAAGUAGCUUAAUAGAUUAAAUGGGUUUGCUGACUGAAGAACUCGAUAAGUUCAUAAGAGAACUCAGCGAGUUGGUUUGGGAUUGUCUCAAUUCUGAUGAAAAGGAGGGUAAAACUCGACGAGUUGGAUCGAUUCUUCUUCAUUCAGUGGUUUGAUGAGAACUCGGUGAGUUGAAGGACCAACUCAACGAGUUAGGUCACUUGGAACGUUGACUUUGGUGUUGUUAGGGAAGCAGUUAGGGAUUUCUUGCAGUGAGCUUCAACAUUCGAGGUGAGUCUCCUCACUGUGUUUAACGAGUCGAAGGCACCAAUGUCGUGCCAUGCUUAUUUGUUAGGAUGUAGUUGUUUAUGUGACUCUUGCAUGUGUAUGCGUUGAUAUGUAUGUUGGGCGGGGCCAGAUGAUUAUUCCAUAUGCUAGUAUCAGGUUGUGCAUAUAUGAUUUGUAUGCAGGCGGGGACCGAUGAUUGUACACUAUACUAUUGACUCUCCCAUAUCUCAGAUCUCUCAGGUAGUUUGGGCAGCUUCGUCUCCAAUGCCCCUUGUCUUGGGAAUAAAAGAAAAUGGACUCCUUUGGCACAGCACAUGGGGCAAUCUCAUACUUAGUCCUUUCUGUACUUACAAUGUUGCCAGUGUCCAUUGAAGUUUGGGAUUUUGAUUUACCAGACAAAUUUGCUUGACCAGCACACCAAAUCAUUGCUGAUUCAGCAGCUAUAAGCAAAUAGGUGAGAUCAAUGAGGGUCACAUCGUGGUCCAUCAUAUAGUACUCUCUAAUGAACUCACUAUAUCAUUCAGGAAGCGACUGAAGAACCCAGUCAACAGAUAACAUCUCUGAGAUAUUGACACCCAUCAUCAAUAACCUAUCAAUGUGUGACUUCAUCUCUAAGAUGUGUGCACACACAAGUUUCCCAUCUUCGUGUUUACUUGCCAAAAGGGCUUGAGUGAGCUUGAAGUUUUCAAGCUUUCGAACUUGUGGGUUAGGGAGAAUAAUUGGAGGAGGUGGAGGAAGUGAAGCAUGAUCUCUGGUUCCUUGAUCAUAUCGUGGAAUAUCAUCUUCAUUUUGAAAACUUGUUCCAUGGGAUUUGGGAAGACCGUUGUUAGAUUCAGACAUCUACAAAACGGGAUAAAUUCAAGGUAGUUGAUAAUAAUCCUUGAUGUAACACCCAAAUGAAACAUCAAGGCUAGGAUCCAACACAAUACUCUACAACCUAGAAGAGGGAUGUCGUAAUCUAGUUUGCAGAAGAUUUGAAGGUAGGUAAAUGACGAUUUACCAAUUUCCACCAUGAAAAACAAACAAAAAAAUUGAAGUUUAAGUUUUAAAUGAAUUGAAACUCCUAGAUCUUUUGAGAUUCAUUGAAAUUUUCAAUGGCAUGUUUAAUCUCGAUUAUGCCCUACUAUUUGCGACUGGGAUGCCGAGGAUCACAAACAAUGUGUGACUAACCAUGCGAAUCACAUGGUGCACUCAAUGCUACUAUCACCUAAUCAAUGUGCCGAUUAGCCACGUAUGCUCCAUUGAUCUAUGAUAAACAUCGAGUCACCCUUCGCUACCAAUGUCAAACCGAAAUUAGUGUGCCGGUUAACCACACACGCUCCACUAAUGUCUCGGCAAGGGUACAAAGUGUCAUUCCAUGGAUUAGCAUACAAUUUCACAUUUUGCCUAAAGUAACUAUGAUUUGGGAAUUUGAAAUAAAUUUAGUUACUUUGUACUUCAUUAUACUUAUAAUGGAAGGUUUCUGUCCUAUCCUACCCGUUCGGCUAACGACCCUCAACUAGCCAAGAGUGCGAUGGGUAACAGUGGAUACCCAUUAAAUCGUUAUUUUAUAGGCAAUUCCCUUAAACACCCCUUAUAGACCAGCUUCGUGAAUGAGGCCUACUAACGGUAAAACUGACUCUUUACUCAUAUAUUUAUAUAUAUAUAUAUAUAUAUAAAUAUAUNUUAAAAUACUAGGUGGUUUUAUUAACUUUCUCUUUUAAUUAAAAUUUUAAUUAACUAAACAAAACCAUGUGGGUGUAAUUUGAACUUUUCAAAAUACUGGGGUUUUAGAAUUUAAAUAUUACAUAAUUAAACUAUUAAUCAGAAUUUUAAAUUCCAAAACUUGAGGGCAAGUUUUUUGAAACAUUUCAAAACAUUAGGAUUCAGAAUUUAAAUAUUUCAAAAUUAAACUUUUAAUCAAAAAUUUAAAUUCCAAAGCUUGAGGGCAAGUUUUGAAACUUUUCAAAACAUUUGGGUUUAACUAUUUAAAUUUCAAAGAACAAAACUUUUAAGUUUAAAUUUAAACUAUAAAACUUAAAGAGAGUAAUUUGAAACUAUUCAAAUAAGGCAAUUAUCUAAUUUUGACCUAGUCAAAUAUUUUGCAGGAUAAUUCAUCAAAUAACUCAAAUAAUUAAACAUUAUCGUAUAAGGUAACAUAUAUUUGAUUAAAUGGUAAUUAUCUACAAUUUUGGUAAGGAUAUUCACCCAAAAUCAAUAAAAAUCGGAUUUUAUUAAUUAAAAAAGUUUAUGGUAAGAAACCCAAGCCAAAACAGCAAGAAAAUCGCCGAAAAACGCUGUCAGACCCUCGGACUCGCCGAGUCAGAGAGUGGACUCGCCUAGAUCAUCUACUGACUCGCCGAUUCAGUCAAGUAGAAGGUGCAAAAAACAAUUUUUCAGCCAAUAAACUAUCAAAUAAGCAUCAAUUCACUAACAAACAACCCUAGGCUCAGAUACCACUGAUGGGUUUUGAGCAAUACAUCAAUCCUAUGGUGUACAUGCAAACCCUAAUAGCUUUGGAUCCAGUUUUUCUAAUGAACAUGCAAUUGAUAAUCCAAAGCCAUAAAUCCUAAAUCUAAUAAACUAUAACUAAAAUUAGGGUUUAGAUCUUACCUUUGAUUGUUAUAUAGCAAUAACAAUCAAUCCUUGGCUUCAGAAAGCUUAGUGCCUCAAGUGUUGCACCUCUAAUGGAGUCACAAACACCACUAAGCAACUUGGAUGAAGAGGGAGGAGAGAGGAGACACCAAAAAAGGUUGGAAACCCUAAAGGAACACUUAGCCACGUUUUUGGUUCUCAAGGGUUCUUUAAAUAGGUAGGCAAUUAGGGUUAUCUAACAAGGAAACCUUAAUUUGACUGCUUAAGCCCUAAGAAGCCCAUGGACCUUUUCUGGAACAUGCCUUGGACAAUUUCUAAUGGGCUUCCCCAUAGAAUUCGUCCAACCUAUUAUUACAAGGUGAUCUAUAGCCCAAUUGCAAUUAUCUUAUAAUUACAAUUCUAAUCCCUAAGUUUAAUUAUUCUCUUUUAGCCACAAAGUUAAUUAUUUAUUAAUUCUUGACUAAUAUUAAUUAAACAAUAUGAUUUCUCCUUUAAUAUAUUAUUCUCAUAAUAUAUUAAUAAAUCAUAAUUAAACCUUUUUCUCAUAAUUAAACCCAAAAGGACCAUGCUCAUAAUCGGGUCAAGUACAUACCAAAAUAGUUAUGGACUUAGACACUAAUCCAACAGUAUUUUGGAUGAUUAUGGAUACACUAUGACUUCCUUAUGGCCUUGAUAAACACGUUUGGUUGAUGUUUAUUUUAUAUAGAAACAAAAAAAUUUGGUUCUAAGUUUUUGGGACAUUACAGACCCAUACCUGUUGAAAUCAAGGUUCUAAAUGGCGUGAGCAGUGGCGUGGCGGCAAGGCCAAGCCUCAAGCUUAACGAGUCGUGGCGAGCCAUGGCGUUUUUCAAGGCGUGAUGUAAGGCGGCGAUUUUGUAUUAAUUUAAAAUUAUAUUACCACAUAAAUAUAAAUUUAUAUUAAAUAUAACUACUUUUUAAAAGUGUUAGAUCAAUAACUAAUAACAAAAAGUUAACAAAAACCACAAUACUUGUAUCUCCAAUUUGAAAAGACAUAACAAAUAGCAAAAAACUGUGUCUCAAACGAAAAAACAUGCACCAUAACCCGCCAUAUCACGCCUUGCCACGCGUCACGCCUAACCACAACGUUAUGAAACUUUUUGUAACGGCGAAGCCACGCCUCACGCCAUGGCACGCCUUUGCACGCGCCAUGGCGCGCCUUUUAGAACACUGGUUGAAAUAUACCGAAGAAGUCAGAAGGGACUUAGAGAAACGGAUGGGACUCAGGCGUGAAAUAGACCUGUUACAUGUUUAGCGUGAUAUGUAUGUAUGAUGUAUGUAUGUUAUGUGUGGUAGGUGGUAUUUAGGGGACUCAUUAAGCUUUGUGAUUAAAUUUUAAGUUGUUUCAGGUACUUCUAGUUUGAAAUGGAAGGGUCUAACUUGAUCGCAGCACAUCCACCCAUAUUUCCGCAUUUUUAUGAUUUAAGGAAUUGUACUCUGAUAACUGUUUUACUAUGAUAUACUUUUUGAUAGUUUGAUAUGAAUAUUUGAUGAUGUGAGUUGAAUUAAUAAUGAAAUUUUUAUCUAUGAUUUUUGGGAUGUUUCACAUCAAGCACCAAGGUGGCAUGAAAUCUUCCUUUAUGGCACAAUUCCUUCAUAUGGUGCAACAUCCAUCAAGAUAUGGCGCAACAUCUCUACAUUUGGCACAACAUCCAUGUGGAUGGCGCAACAUCCAACCUCUUGGUGUAACUUCAACAUGGAUGGCAUAACAUGUUCCUCCAAGUUGCUCCAAACCACCUUUAAGACGAUCUGUUCCUUUAUUAGAUGAUUCAAUGCCUUUUCUGAUUAUUCGUUCCUUUGACACAUGCUCCAUGAAACUCAAGUGCUCUAUUGAGUUUUAAGUGCUCCAUUGAACUCGAUUUCUCCAUGUGAAUACUCUAAACGCUCAAGUCACAUUUAACAGUUGUAAAAAUAAAUUGGCGACAAAACGUACGAAAACUAGCAAAAUAAAUGAAUUUGUAAAAACGAGUUCUGAGAAAAAAAAACAUAUGAAAACGAAGUAAAAAGUCAAGUUGUAAAAUAGAUUGUGAAGAAACAUGUAAACGUGAAGUAAAAAAAUGAAAAUGUGAAAACGAAUCAUGUAUAAUGACUCGUGAGAGUAAUGAACUAUUGCAAUUGUACAUAUUUUAUCAGUAUUUUUAUAUAUAUUUGACCAAUAUAUUUACAUAAAAUGCUCAAAAAGAUAACUAUUACAUGCAAUUAAAUAAAUUUGACGACUUUGACCUAUAUAUCCCUAUAGCCAUCAAGUGUCCAUCCAUGGAUAAAAGAAAAUUGGGAUAUCAUAAGAGAAAUCAUGGGAUGGUCCUUGUUUUGAUGAAGAUUACACCCUUUCCGUCAGAAAUAACAUAACUCUAUGAACCAUUAAAAUAAGUUUGAACCAAACUCCAAACAUUCACGCAAACAACUUUUUCAUUGUUAAUUCUUCAAAUUUAGCCCAUCGGGUUCUCAUCGCUACCGGUAGUCAACAAAGAAUACACCCACGAUCAUCUGAAUUUAUUUUUUCUUUAGCACUCUCUAACAUUCUUCUUUCUGCUCGAUAAAUGAGUAAUGCAAGAGGUUAGAGAGUACCAAGGUGUUCCAUAAUUGACUUGGAAGAGAAUAGUAUUGUGGUUUCGUGAUUUUUUUUCAAGAAAGAGAAAGAUGAGAGAGAAAAUAGAGGUAUAUGUAUUCUCCUUCCCUUUCGGUAAAGAAGGGAAUGUGAUGAGUUGAGGUUGAUAAUUUAGCAAUGAAACAGUUGUUUAUGUAUAUGCUUAGAUGGUUUGAUCUCCAAAACAAAGGAUCAUCUCAUAAUUUCUCAUACAAGGUCUCCAUUUUCCUUUGACCAUGCAACGAGAUGGAGGAGAGAUAGUAUCAUGGAUGGAUAUUUGUUUUCUAUGAGAACAAAUUGGUGAAAGUCAUUGGAGAAAGCGUUAAAAUUCUUUUAAUUUUUCAUUCAUAAUGUUAUUUUUGAAUAUUUUAUGUAAUUUUAUUAGUCAAAUAUAUAAAAACAUAAGUAAAUGUAAUAAUGAAAACCUUAGAUAGCAUGGUGUAAUGAUAUCUUUUAAACAUUAGGUAUUAGGUAUAAGUUUAAUGAUCUAAUAUAUAGGAAAAGAGAAAAAUAAAUAAAUAUGUAUAGUUACAAAAUCUUUAUCUCUAAUAUGUACAAUUACAAAUAUUUGUAACCAUUACAAAUCUUUAUCUGUAACCAUAUUUAUCUAUAAUACGUUACUCAACCUUAAAGAAGAUGGACGUACAUAUACAAGCAUUUACAACAAGUUCUUAAAAAGAAUUACAAUAUAAACUAUAAAGGAUCCCUACAAGGCAACAACCGCCAUGAUCACUUUGACCCAAUACGAAAAUGCUUGCAAUAUACAUGGAUGCAUAGUUGUGUAUGCAUAUACAUAUAUUUUUAUAUUUAUUAUCCUAUUAGUUACAUUUAAUAUUUUAUCGAAAACGUUAAGAAAGUGUAUGGAAGAGGGGAUUGGGUUGAUGGGCAUGAUGGUGGGGCUAAUCUCCAUAAGCAUUCAUGCAUCCAUGCUGCGUCCCAACUGCAUCUCUUUCCCUCAUGGGGCCACAUUUUUUUUUUUCUUUAUUCCCUCUUUUUUACUAUACAAUAAAUUUAGUUAGAUAAGUUUUUAAAUAUAUAGUUGGGCGAAGUUUAUUAAGAAUCUUUCCAUUUUUAACUUUUUACAUUGAAAAUCAUCAUAAAUUUUUGGCUGAAAUUAUUUUUUUUACUUUUAUAUUGAAGUUAUUAUUCAUUUAUUAAGAUUGGUUAUCAUGUUAUAAAUGUUCAUACUAGUUUUUGACUUUGACCAACAUAUCAUAUAUCAUAUUGGAUUCUUUUGCAUUGUUUUGGAUAGGCAAUAAGCUGUUUUUGGUUUGCAAUUAUCAUCUUUUAUAAAUAAAUAAAAAUAUAUUAAUAAUUUAUUAGAUAAAAGAGUAAAAUAUAAAGUGUUUCAAAAAAUGUGUCCUAAUUAAUAUAUAAAAAGUUUUAUAAGAUAGUUGUCAAUGAAUCAAACUGACCUAUCUAUCGUAAAAAAAUGGUUUGAUGUGUUUUCAAGUUCGUUUAAUCUGCUAUUUUGUUUUGACACAAGAAGCAAUGAUUUAGAGCCCAUUUGUUAUGAAAAUCGACAAAUGAGGAUCGCAAUGAAAAAUUAGGAAAAAGCAAGGGGGUGAAAGAGAAAAUGAAAAGAAAGUAGUAGAAGACUAGAAGAAUCUGACGACAUGGAUACAGAGGGCGCUAGAAGUUACGGGAAAACAUGAGGUUUAAUAGUCCUCCACACCCCAUUGGUAAUGGCAUAUUCAUCUCGACAGCUGGCUCCGGCUAUUUUUUAUAUUUAUUUAUUUAUUUUUUAAUUUGGGUUAAAUAAGUGGGUUAUUGAUAUCAAAUUGAUUAAGUUUGUUAAUUUUUUGGAAUUGUCCCUAUCAUGAUUUUUUUUUCUUUACCUUUUUUAGUUUUUUAAGUUUUUUAUUUUAUUUUUUUAUUUUUUAUUUUAUUUUGCUUUGUAUAUUUUCCUUUUUACCUCUAAAUAGUACAGGUUUUGAGAUUAUAAUAAAAUAUUAUUUAUAAAAAAACCUUAAGUUUAUAAAUAUUUUAUGCUUUUAUCAUUUGUAUGUUUUUUCAUAUUAUAUAAAUUAAUGAGGUUUUUUUGAACGACUAACUGAAUUAACAAAACGAAAUUCUAACAAGGAGCUAAAGCAAAAACGAACAAAAUACACUAAGAUGAUGUUUGUUUUUUGUCUGUAUAUUUUUUUAGUCUUUUUUGUUUACACCGUACAAAAAACUACAUGUAGACAUUAGUCUUUACAAACUAUUUGGUUUUCAAAAACUGUAACCUAAAAAGGUAUAUGCAUCCUCUACUAAGCACAGAAAUUAACUACGCUCUUCUAAUAUCUUUAGACAUGUUCUAACCUAAAAACACAUUAUCUUUGGUUUUUUAUGAAAUAAUUAAAAUUAAAAUUUAUUUCAAUUUUAUCUAUGAUAAAAAAUUUUAGAAAAAAGUUACAAUAUUUCAAAAAAUAGGAUUCGAUAACACAACUAUGACCUUUGUAACAUAUUUUUAAACGAAUAUAUAAUUAGAAUAAUGUUCUUNNNNNNNNNNNNNNNNNNNNNNNNNNNNNNNNNNNNNNNNNNNNNNNNNNNNNNNNNNNNNNNNNNNNNNNNNNNNNNNNNNNNNNNNNNNNNNNNNNNNNNNNNNNNNNNNNNNNNNNNNNNNNNNNNNNNNNNNNNNNNNNNNNNNNNNNNNNNNNNNNNNNNNNNNNNNNNNNNNNNNNNNNNNNNNNNNNNNNNNNNNNNNNNNNNNNNNNNNNNNNNNNNNNNNNNNNNNNNNNNNNNNNNNNNNNNNNNNNNNNNNNNNNNNNNNNNNNNNNNNNNNNNNNNNNNNNNNNNNNNNNNNNNNNNNNNNNNNNNNNNNNNNNNNNNNNNNNNNNNNNNNNNNNNNNNNNNNNNNNNNNNNNNNNNNNNNNNNNNNNNNNNNNNNNNNNNNNNNNNNNNNNNNNNNNNNNNNNNNNNNNNNNNNNNNNNNNNNNNNNNNNNNNNNNNNNNNNNNNNNNNNNNNNNNNNNNNNNNNNNNNNNUAUAUAUAUAUAUAUAUAUUAAUGAUAAAAACCAACAAUCUUUGAUCGUAAACUUAUGCCUAAAGAUUAUAAUUAGUGAUUAAAAAAAAUUAACACAUAAAAUAGAAGGAAAUAAACUUCGAUUUUACAAUGCAAGAAGAAUUUGUUGAAUUUAAUGUAAAAAUGUGUGGGACCUAGUGCCAAUAUCAAAAUGAGUAUCAAUUGUUGGUCCAAGGUGGAUCUAUAAAAACAAGACUAAUGAUGAUUAAAUCAUCAAAAGCAAAAAAAAAAGCCAGCCUGGUUGUCAAUGGUUAUUCGCAAGAAGAAGACACAGACUAUGAUGGAAAAUUUACAUAUGUUUUAGAAUAGAAGCCAUUAGGGAUUUCUCGACAUUUUUUGCACGUAAGAAGAUCAAGAUUUGUCAAAUGGAUGUGUAGUGUGCAUUUCUUAAUGGAUAGAUUGACAGAGAGGUAUAUGUUAGAUAACCCCUGGGUUUAAAGACCAACGACUUCAAAACCAUUGCUUUACUCUUCAUAAAGUUGUAUGUGACUUGAAACAAACUCCCAGAGCAGGGUAUCGAACAUUGUCCAAAUUCAAAGAAGAUUCAAAGUUUCAAAUAUGAUCUAUAUUGGUUAAUUCCAAUGUACAUAUCAUCUUGUAAAUCUUCAUCAAAAUCCCCAACACCUGAAUGAUUGUCUUCAGAACUGAAUACUUUAGCUUAGUCAUCGUUAAGCUAAUCCUGCAUAUUCACACCAAGACGAUCUAUGUACACCUAAAGUAUACAACCAAAAGCAUACCAUAUCUCGAUAAGAUCCAUAUAGUAUCGGUUUGUAGCUAUUAUCCUCAACACUUCAGGAAACUCUAACUCUGACACACAAUAAUGCACCUUCUCACAUUUCUCCUAUGUGAAUCUUUCAAGAAAACCCACAAAUUCAUUCUUGUUUAUUCCAACAAAAUCCACAUCUUCAAACCGAUUUUCUAUUCCAUCUAAAUAAGUAAUUGCAUGGUACCUCGUAAAAAUACUUAGGUCAUGAAGAUUUAUCUGAUGGGUUUUGGCUAUAAGAACAUCCUAUGUGCUCAUACAAACCCUAAUGCUUGGAUCUAGGUUUCUCUAUUGUACAUGCAAUUCAUCCAAGACUAUAAGCCCUAGAUCUAGCAUAUGAUAAUCAAUAUAACAUAUAAUUUAGGGUUUAGAUCAUACCUUGAUUGUUAUGUAGCAAUAACAAUCUCAAAUCCUCCUUGUAUUGACUUUAGAAACCUUAGAGUCACAAAUGUCACUCCUCUAAUGGUUUACAAACACCAAGAGCAAGAGGAUGAAGAAGAGAAGGGAAGGAGGCUCUCAAAACGUGUGGAAACCCUAGAGAACAAGUUCACCACGUUUUUGGAGCAUAAGGGUUCUAUAUAUAGUGAGGCUAUUAGCGUUAUCUAACAAGGAAACCCUAAUUUGGAUGCUUAAGCCCUAAGCAACCCAUGGACUCCUUUCCUUAAAGGCCUUGGACGAUUUCUAAUGGGUUUCCCGUAGAAUUCGUCCAACCUUAUAAUAUAAGGCAAUCCAUAGCCCAAUUGCAAUUAUCUUAUAUUACAAUUCUAGUCCCUUAAGUUUAAUUAAUCUCUUUUAGUCACAAACUUAAUUCUUAUUAAUUCUUGACUAAUAUUAAUUAAACAAUAUGAUUUCUCCUUUAAUAUAUUAUUCUCAUAAUAUAUUAAUAAAUCAUAUUUAAUCCUUUCUCUCCAUAAUUCAUCCUAUCAAGUUACUUUGGUGAAGGCAACCCAAAAGGACCAUGCACCAUCGGGUCAAGUACAUACCAAAAUAGUUAUGGACUUAGACACUAAUCCAACAGUCUCCCACUUGGAUAAGUCUAAUAACUAUUAUGCGUAUGACUUCAGAUCCUGAUCUGCAAUCGUAGCUUUCCAAAGCCGCUGUCAACUCUGAUCCUAUCAGAUACGCGUGUCCUUUAGAUAAGGGAUCAUAUAUUCCUCCAUUCUAGAUAUCGUAAGACAUGAUUUCUAAUCAUUCUCUCUGUACUAUUUCUCGACUUCCGAUUUAUGACGACUGACUAAUUGAACAAAUCAAAUUAGCCCUAGCCCGGCCGAGCAUUUACGUUUGUCAUCACUAAAUCAUCGAGGGGCCCAAAGAUAUCGCUUUUAUCCUACUUUGGAUAAAAGGAACGGAUAAACUUUGAUACAAUGCUUGCUUGCACUCACUCACCGAAUCACACACAACAAUAUGUUUUAUAACACCAAGUUACUGGUGCGUUUACAUAUUAUCAAUGUGCAACCGAUUUGCAAGAUACAACUCACACAUCUCGGUUUCAAGAAUAUAAGAUGUUAUCGUCUCACCAAUCACUCGUGAUACAAUUCAUGGAGUGAUCCAAGUGAGCGUGGGUUUAAUCCAAUGCUCAAAUCAUAUUCAUAAGCACUCAUGAACGUUGCAGCAAACAUUUGCUUAUGUCUAAUACUCUUUAGACAAUCCACACACCAAUUCACGACAGUCUUCAUUCAUACCUACUUCCAACAUAUGAACGACUGUGGCCCGUUCGAAUAAUUUGACUGUUCUUAACCAAUUAAAUUAUUCAGGAAGUCAAAACAUGCAAAGUGAAACACAAGAAUAAUACUAAUCCCAUAUGGCCUCAAACCUUUGAGUAUAAAUAAAACACCUUUUAUUUAUCACCAUAUCGAUUACUCAUUAUUUGUUGUUUCGGGUAAUCAACUUCUUACUUGAAUUAUUACACUUGUCCCAUGCUCUUAGCAUGCACACAAUGUUUACCUAUGGUUCUUACUUUGUGAAAUAGAUCAAAUUGAACACAUUUCCAAUCAUUCUCAUUUCACAACUCCAAAUCCUUUUUCAUAAGUGAAAGAAUAUCAAAUUCUUGCUACUUAUAGAAUAUGCUAGAUUCUAACAUUUUAUGCAAUGAUCCUUUCGUAAUGUCACUGCACCAAAGUCACAAAGACUAUUGCCAAUGAUAUUACAAAGUCCUCUAUCGGAGAUUGUUACAAGACAAUUCCUUAGAUAUGAUGUCUCUCACUCAAAGUACAUUCCUUUGAACAUCCUUUUGCAUAAAAGUUUCUAAUCUAGACAUAGAUUUUCAAUAUUCAAUUCCCAAUAUGGACACGUUUCCAUAUUUUCCAUAUGACAACUCAUUCUUAAUAGAAUCUUAUCUAUUCAUAAUAAUGUCGAUAUGGUCCAUCCAAUAUGGAAACAUUUCCAUAUUUUCCAAUACUAUACUUCCAACUACUCACAAGCGACCAAUCCUCGGCGAACUUUGGAUUGUCCUUUGAUAGUUGUUUAAUUAUCUUAGUCAAAACCGAUUCUUGUCCUUUUUCCCUCUAAAUGCGCUAGACAUUUGGAAAAUUUUAGAAUGGUCAAAUAUUAUAGCAUUUGCAAUCGAUCCUAUACCCGAAGCGUAUGGGACACGAUGCAUAAUGUCUUACAUAAAGAUUUGAUACUUUAUCAAUCUUCUGCCAUAAUAUUUUAUGUGCUACGUUCUCAAAAUUCGAACUAUGAAGAGGAAUGUCGUAAUCAUAAUCGAAAUUUGAGAACACACUAUGUAUCCUUGACUAAAUUUAUUAACAUUCCACAACCUAAGCCUUUAGAUUUGAAAUGAAGCAUAAUAUUCUCUCCCUUAAUUAUAGCAAAACAACUUUUCAACCCUUACGACUUUGCAAGGUAUAACUCUUGUUUUCUAUAAUUAAUAUUGCCAACUUGCAAUACGUGCCUUAAUAAUCAUACAAUCAUAACAUUUAUGCUCCCACUAUCAUGAUGAUUAUUAUAAACAUAACACUUAUGCUCCCACUAGCUUUGACAUGUAUUCAGAAACAACUUAACUUUCAGAAAAACAAUGCUUAUUGAAUUUCUUAAGUUCAUGUUUCUAAUACUUAGUGCUUUGAUAAUCCUUUAUCAAGGCUUCUUGAACUUAUACACCUUUGCCUUAGAUAGUUCAUAUGUGUGUCUAAACAAUUCAGACUAAUUGCCAAAUCUCACAAUUCGAAUCAUGGAAAGGGAUACCGUAACCAUAAUCGAAUUCGAGAAUGCAAUUUUACAAUCACUAUCUUCUUAAAAUCUUUCUUAGUGAAAGCAUUUCCUCACAAUCAUUUUCAUGAAGGAGGAAAUCUUAUGACACUUAGAUUUAAACGGUGUAUGUGUUCCUAUCCAUGUGAAUUUGUUAAAACCAAAGUUUACGACAAAUUCAAACUCAUAUGGACCGAACUUUCUUAAUCUUGAUUUCUUGCCUUAUGGUAGCACAGCUGCCCACCAUGUCUUCCAAGUAGUUAAGCAGCUCACCCUUUCCUAUCAAUGUACCUUUCAUUGAUUAAGGUGCUUUGCCUUUUAUGCGUUCAAAAUGAGAACUCAUAGAACUCACAUGCAUAAUUAACUCGAUUGGAUUGGCACAGAAACAAAAUAAUGUCAACACGAUAGGUUGUAAACCUCAACUCGUGUGCUAGUGAUGAUCGAUAAGGUUUAUUUGAUUUGUUCUUGAAACCUUUCAAGACCAUUAAGACUCCCACUGACUCCUUGACAUAUAAGAUUCUCUUGUCAAUAACCAUUUCUUGACAAACAAAUAUUCAAGAGUUAGUGUAGCUUUUAUCAAAACACUUCAUAAAUUGGUCCUAGUUGGUCUUUGUCUUAUCCAAGACAUCACAACUUUCCACAUUUGAUGAAUGUUAUAAACCUUCUUAAUACUUAUCACUCAAUGUCACAAUCUUAACUUUAAGACUUGUUUUUGGAACGAAGUAUGAUUGACUUCUUGAUUUAACCAUUUCUUCAAUUCUUGAUUCCUCUUCUUAGACAUACAAUUGUACUAAGACUCACUUAGAGGAUCAAUUGAGAUAUGGUUCUUAAUCAUUAAGACCUAUCAUAAAGCAUAAAAGGUACUCUCCCUUCUUCUUAGAAUGGAGAAACUUUUAUCUUUCUGCCUACUUGAUUCUUCUUAUUCGUUCUGCUAUUGAUUUAAACCUUUUCAAUCAAUUCAGAAUUACACUUAAUCUUAUAAGUAUAAUCAUAUUUACUAAACCUUUAGUAAAUCAUGACGAAUAUCUUUGUUACUCUUAUGGUGGACUUGAUCAACACGCAACUUUGUGUACUCGAUCUCCUAGUCCUUCACUUGACACUUUGUCAAUGAAUUAGUCUAAUUUCCAAAUAUGAAAUUUCUCAUUCAUCGUGCAACCAAGUUGCAUGAUUCCAAGUUUCUGUCCAAUUGAAACUUGGGCGAUGAGAAACUCUCCCUAUUUGGUAAAUUCUCGACUUUCCAUAAAUAACAUAAUAAGAACCAAAUCCAUUAUUGCUAAUAAUAGAAACAUUUUAACAUCAAUUUUUCAUACACGCCAUUGUAAGGAUAAAUAAAUAAAAUUUAAAAUCAAAAUUUAUUUUAUUGCGGAAAAAUUUGUCCUUACAAUGCAACUCAUUGAAAAACUUAUGCUAAUACAUCUUUCUUAGCAAUCUAAUUCUAACUCUAAGUAGUAGCUCAAGAAUCUAAUCUUCGAGAAAUGCGAUCGAAAUCCAUUCCUUCACGGUUAGAUUCUGCUCACUUCUUCCCUUAAGCUUCCUUUCUUUUCUUCGAUCCUACAAAACAUCAAUUGUAAUCUUAUCACAUUAUGUAUUAAGAAUCUAGAAUAGAAGCUUAAAAGAGUUAGUUAAUGGAUUUUACCUAUAUUAGAGCCAUACGUUUCGACUCUCCCAUCUCUUAGAUCUCUUAGGUAAAUGGGGCAGCUUCGUCUCCAAUGCCCUUUCUCUUGGCAAUAAAAGCAAAUUGACUCUUUUGGAACAUGACAUGGAACUACUUCAGACAUUGCCUUUCUCUUAUGAUCAAACUUUUCGAUCAUAGCAUGUCUUUCGUUGCCAUUGUCUAUAUCCAUAGAGGUCUUGAAGGCAGAUUCACCAAUCAACUUUGCUUUUCUAUUGCGCCAAACCAUUGCUGAUUCAGCAGCAAUAAGCAUAUAGGUGAGAUCUAUAAGGGUCACGUCGUGGUUCAUCAUAUAGUACUCUCUUACGAACUCACUAUAUGAGUUAGGAAGUGACUGAAGAACCCAAUCAACAGCCAUUUCCUCACAGACAACGGAUCCCAACAUUCUUAACCUAUCAAUGUGUGACUUCAUCCCUAGGACGUGUGCACACACCGACUUUCCUUCUUUAUGUUUACUUGCCAAAAGGGCUUGAGUGAUCUUGAACUUUUCAAGCCUUUGAACUUGUGGGUUAGGGAGAAUAAUUGGAGGAGGUGGAGGAAGUGAAGCAUGAUUUCUUGUUCCUCGAUCGAAUCGUGGAAUAUCAUCUUCAUGUGGAAUGCUUGUUCCACGGGAUUUGGGAAGACCAUAGUUGUCGAACUUUGACAUCUACAAAACGGGAGAAAACGAAUUCAAGUUAGUUGAUUGAUUGAGUCCUUAGUAAAUCACCCAAAUGAGAUACUAAGGCUAGGACCCAACACAAUAUUCUACAACUCGGGAGAGGGAUGCCGUAACCCAAAUUGCAGAACAUUUGAAGGUAAGUGAAUGACGAUUCACUAAUUUCCACCAUGAAAAACGAAAAAGAAAUUUAAGUUUUAAAUCUAUGAAAACUCCUAGAUCCUUUGAGAUUCAUUGAACAUUUCAAUGGCAUGUUUAAAUCUCGAUAUGCCCCUCUUGUUUGUGACUGGGAUGCCGAGGAUCACAAAGCGGGUGUGAAUAACCAUGCAAACUUACAUGGUGCCCUCACAUGUUACAGUCACCUAUUCGAUGUGCCGGUAAACCACACACGCUCCACCGAACUAUGACAAACAUUGAGUCACCCUUUGCUACCUUUGCUUAGAACCAUUUAGUGUGCCGGUAAACCACACACGCUCCACUAACGUCUUCGCAAGGGCACAAAGUGUAAUUUCAUGGAAUUGCAUCAAUUCACUUUUGCCUAAGUAACUAAGAUUGGGAAUUUUAUGAAAACAUUUAGUUACUUUUAUACUUCAUUAUACUUAUAAUGGAAGGUUUCGUCCUAUCCUACCCGUUCGGCUAACGACCCUCCACUAGUCAAGAGUGCGGUGGGUAAGAGUGGAUACCCAUUCAAUCGCCAUUUUAUAGGCAAUUUCCUUAAACACCCCUUAUAGACCAGCUUCGUGAAUGAGGCCUACUAACGGUAAGACUGACUUUUACUCAUACAUAUAUAUAAUGUUAGACUUUUAAUGUUAUAUAUAGUAUAGGGUGUAUUUUACACUUUUAAAAUACUAGGUGGUCAAAUUUAAUAAUUAUACUUUUAAUUCAAUUAAAUUGUAAACCAAAACUUUUAUGGAUUUAUUAAACCUCUUUUAAUUAUACACCUUAAUUAAUUAAUAAAACCAUAAGGGUGUGAUUUGAACUUUUCAAAACAAUACUAGGGUUUUAGAAUUUAACAUUCCUAAAUUAAACUUUUAAUCAACUUUUAAAUUCCAAAACUUGAGGGCAAGUUUUGAAACAUUUCAAAACAUUAGGGUUUAGAAUUUAAAUAUACAUCAAAAUUAAACUUUUAAUCAAAAUUUAAAUUCCAAAACUUGAGGGCAAGUUUUGAAACCUUUUCAAAACAUUAGGGUUUCAACUAUUUAAAUUUCAAAACAAAACUUUUAAGUUCAAAUUUAAACUAUAAAACCUAAAGGGGAAAAAUUGAAACUUUUCAUACAAGAUAAUUCAAAUCUAAAUUACAAAUAAUCAAAUAUUAUCUAAUAAAACAAAUGAUUAUCUAAAUUUGACAAUUAUCUUCUAUUUAGGUAAGGAUAAUCACCAAAUAUUGAUAAAAUUCGGAUUUUAUAACAAAAAUAUGUUUAUGGUAAUUAUCCAAAGCUAAAACAGGAAGAAAAUCGCGAAAAUUAGCUGUCAAACGAUUUGACUCGUCGAGUCUGGGCUUGGACUCGUCAAGUACAGCUAACUCGGCGAGUGCACCAAGUGACUCGGCGAGUCAAACACUCAAAAUCAAAAAUUUUCGAUUUUCAGUGCUGAUUUCGAUCAAAUAUGCAUCAAUACAAUAGAAACCAAUCUAGGUUCUGAUACCACUGAUGGGUUUUGGCUAUAAGAACAUCCUAUGUGCUCAUACAAACCCUAAUGCUUGGAUCUAGGUUUCUCUAUUGUACAUGCAAUUCAUCCAAGACUAUAAACCCUAGAUCUAGCAUAUGAUAAUCAAUAUAACACAUAAAUAAGGGUUUAGAUCAUACCUUGAUUGUUAUGUAGCAAUAACAAUCUCAAAUCCUUCUUGUAUUGACUUUAGAAAGCUUAGAGUCACAAAUGUCACUCCUCUAAUGGUUCACAAANACUACACCAAGAGCAAGAGGAUGACGAAGAGAAGGGAAGGAGGCUCUCAAAACAUGUGGAAACCCUAGAGAACAAGUUCACCACGUUUUUGGAGCAUAAGGGUUCUAUAUAUAGUGAGGCUAUUAGGGUUAUCUAACAAGGAAACCCUAAUUUGGAUGCUUAAGCCCUAAGCAACCCAUGGACUCCUUUCUUUAAAGGCCUUGGACGAUUUCUAAUGGGUUUCCCCAUAGAAUUCGUCCAACCUUAUAAUAUAAGGCAAUCCAUAGCCCAAUUGCAAUUAUCUUAUAAUUACAAUUCCAGUCCCUUAAGUUUAAUUAAUCUCUUUUAGUCACAAAACUAAUUACCAAUUAAUUAUUGACUAAUAUUAAUUAAACAAUAUGAUUUCUCCUUUAAUAUAUUAUUCCCAUAAUAUAUUAAUAAAUCAUAUUUAAUCCUUUCUCUCCAUAAUUCAUCCUAUCAAGUUGCUUUGGUGAAGGCAACCCAAAAGGACCAUGCACCACCGGGUCAAGUACAUACCAAAAUAGUUAUGGACUUAGACACUAAUCCAACAUUAUCUUCAUGUAAACAACCAUAGAAACAACUCAGAUGAUCGAUUUCAUAGAGAAAUUAAGCGAAAGGGUUUAAAUCUGAAAACGAUAGAGACUUCUCUUUCAGCAUGGAAAUAAAGAAAGGUAAGACACCCAGUAACUUAAUUAUUGUCAGAUACAUGUUGAUUGACAUGACAACUCUUUUAAUGACGUGACUCAAUAAACCUGUUAAUUUGGAAGGGAUUCACUGGAUGACCAAUUCAGUUUAUAGAAAAUGACAUGUUAAACACUAAAAAGUUGAAUUUAUACCCUUAGAAAAUAAUAAUAAUAAUAAUAAUAAUAAUAAUAAUAAUAAUAAUAAUAAUAAAUAAAUAAAUAAAUAAAUAAAUAAUCAUAAGGGACAACUUAAAACAAAAAGUUGUAAAUUGGUUGAGCUACCCUAACAAUAAUUUUUUUUUAAAUGGACUCAAUCUAUUAACUAAAAAAUAUCUACCAUAUAAACAAAUAUAUUUCACAUAACUGAUUGAUACACUACAGGAAUACAUAGCUAUGGCGACGACACCUAUACUGACGACAAAAGUCGUCGCUACAACUCCGCCUAUGCCGACGACUAGUCGUCGCCACACGUUUUGCCAACUUUGACCAAAAUCGUUUGACCUGGAUACUUGUGCCGACGACAUGUCGUCUCGAAACCUGUGGCGGGAACAACCAAAAAAUACGCGAAAUGCUGAAAACCUAUGUCGACGACAUGUCGUCGGUAUAGCUUUCGAUAAAUCUAUUUUCCAAUUAUUUAUAUUCGAUGGUCCGGUUUAUCAAAACGACGUAGUUUUACGGAAUCUAUACUGACGACUUGUCGUCGGCAAUCCACGUGGCGAUCCGUGUGAAAACAUUAUACCGACGACUUGUCGUCGGCAUAGAUUUUUAUUUUUCAUUUUUUUUAUUUCAGCAAAAACAAGUAAACGACAACGUUUAUUUUAACCCUAUACCGAUGACAUGUCGUCGGCAUAGGAGUUUACCUAAAAGACCACAGUCUGUGUUUCAUUUGCACGCAACGACGCAUCGUCUUUCUCUUUCUCUCGCGAUCAGCAAAAAAUCGAAGCUACCCUCCAAAAAUCCGGUGAUUAGCACCAGGUAAUAUCUCUUCUACCCGGUUUCUCUCUUUAUUGCUUUGUGGUCAAGAUUUUUACCCCUAAUUUGGAGUUGUUUUAUGUUAUUUAUUGCAAUUGGUUCACCACCAUCGGCUUCCACCAUUUUCAGCCAUCCCCACCGGCGAGUCCACCUCCGGUUCACCACCUUCCGCAUUCUCUCCUUCGAUGCUACAUCAUGUAAGUGUUGAUCGGUUUUGGUGUUUUGUUGCUAUCGUGUUUUUUUUUUUUCUGAUUUGGUGUAUUUUUGGUGACCACCAGCCACCACCGGAGGAUACCCAUCAAAGUUGACAACUGGAAUCCUACCAUCACAGCAAAAAGAAAAAAAAUAGGUUAGUAUUUUUAUUUAUAAUUUUUUUUGAAAUUGUGAUUGUAUAUAUGUACAAGUUUAUAUGAAAUUGGAAUCAUUGUAUGACCAUGAGAUUGUUUGUUUUGUAUGUGUUUGAUUGUGCUGUUUGUUUGUUAUGUGUAUGAUUGUAUUCUUUGUUUAGUAUAUGUAUUUUUGUUUGUUUAGGUUGAUGUGAAAUUGAAGUUGUAUAUUUGUAUAAAAUGUUAAUUUAGUUGUUUAUUGUUGUAUGAAAUUAAAAUUGUGUUUAAAAUAUUAUAUGAAAUUGAAAUUUGUUUAGGUACAUAUGAAAUUGAAAUUGUAUAUAUACAAUGUUAAUUUACUUGUUUAGGUUUAUAUAAAAUCAAAUAUUUUGUAUUAUUGUGAAAUAUUUUGCAAUUAUGAACUUUUCAAAAAGAAAAUUAAGUUUAAGUUUAUAUAAAAUCAAAUAUUUUGUAUUUGUUUACUUUAUUAGUUUAAGUGAAUGAAGUGAUAAAAUAUUUAGUUUUUAAGUUAAAAUUUUUGUCAUUAAUAGCAACAUACUUUUUUUAGCUUGUUUAUUACAGUAUUUUAUUUUCAUUUCUAUUUGAUAGUUAUAACAUAAAACAAAAUAAUAAAACUACGUUCAUAUUAAAAGUACAAUGCUAUAAUAAAACAAAAAAAAAACAAAAUAUUAUUAAAAGUACAAUGUUGUAAUUGAAAAAAAAAUGUAUAUAUACUAUAAAUAUGAAAGAGAAGUGAAAAAUAGAAUGUUUUAAACAAACUAAUAAAAGUACAUUGCUAUAAAAUGUGUUUAGAAGUCUACCUUUGUGAAUACUCUAUCAAUUCCGUCAGAUUUCUACUUCCAGGGUAUAUAUUUCUUUAUAUACUUGUCAAUAUCUAUCAAUUCCAUCCGUUUUUUCUCAAACAAAAAGUCAUACAAUUUAACUAUGUAUACAGUGUUAUUUUUAAUAAUGAAACAGUGUCACACCCCAAAUCUGUAACGACGGAAACGUUCAGGGGUGGAGGACGUCAUGUUUAGUAUCACGAGAUAUGUAUUUGGUAAGCAAGUAAUGAACAACCAUUUCAUUUAGAAAGAAAGUGUUUACAAUGUGUGUGUUCACAAAACAUAGAAUUCAUAAACAAAUAACAAAACAAGACUUGAAGCUAUAAUGCUCCAUCUUCUGAUUUCCCAGCACGAGCACCUGUCUAAUAAUCUCCUGAGAAUACAAGUUAUUUGAAAGAGUUGAUCAGCAAUUAAGCUGGUGAGUUCAUAAGAUUUUAGUGAUGUGAGUAAGCUGUAAAAUGUGGUUGAGAAUGUAUAUGUAAAAGUGAAGUAAGCUGUAAGUUCUGUUUUGAAAAGUUUGCCUGUUCCUCUAGAAAAUCCUAUAUUUCCUACUUGAAUGAACGUUAAGUAAUUUGACACUACAAGCCUUUCUGUGGGUACUAAGUGGGUACAAGUUAUAUAAGUCUCGGAGUAAACAAACAAUCGAUUGUGCGUAUCUGCCCUAAGUUCACAACCCAACAAGGAACAGAAAGUAAGACAGAUAACACACAUCCCAUUGGUUGUUAGAUCGUUGUCAUAUAUAACCCUGGUGUAUUCACUUGUUACUCAUGGAGUUAGUUGUAAUGAUUUCUUUAUAUCUAAUGAAAAGUUCUUUAAGAAAACCUAUAUUUCUUAUAGUAAAAAUAGUGACCACAGUGUCUACUUUUAUAAUAGCUUAGUUUCUACUGCUAUAUAUAAUCUAAUAUCGAUUAGAAAGUUAAUUGGGUGAAUCUGCCCUAAGCCUACAACCCAACAAGGAACAGGAAGUAAGGCAUAAAACACACAUUUAACUACCUAUUGGGUAUUAGUUUUAUAUAUAAACAUGGUGUACAAACUAAGGUAUUAUAGAGUUACUCACCUAAAGUCUUUAAAAUUGUACCGAUUUAAUAAAAUGGAUUAAACCCUUUACUGGGAAAUUUCUAGUUUUGAAUACUCAAAAAGUACUGACUUUGGGAAGUAUGUUUUGUACUAGAAAACCGUGCUCUGACUCUGUGUCCUAUAACCUGACCCAUACUUGGUACUCUUAUGAUGACUUAAUGUAUACUAAGCAUACAUAUAUAUAGAAUCAGAUAGAUAAUAGAUUGGGUGAAUCUGUUCCAAGCCCACAACCCAACAAGGAACAGGAAAUGAAGUGGAGAGAACACAUCCUAUUAGCUGUCGGAACCUAUUGGUAUAUAUGUAACCUGUGAUGUAUACAUUAAGGAAUCAUAAUACUAGCAUUCUGGUCCUAUCCUUUAAUUAUAGCCUUCUACCAAGACAUCUUUUGUUAUGUGCUAGACCCGACUGUUCCUUUGUCAAUUUGUAAAAAGUAUAUUUUCCCUAGUUUAUAACUAUCUUGACUAGAAAAUAGUUCAACUUUCAAGUGGUACUGUCACUUUAUGAAAGUAAGGGGAAAAGUAAGUACACAGAUGUCGUUUAUAAUGACAUACAGAUGUACUAAAUAACCUAAAAAGAUAUUUGUUUUAUUACGGUCAUAAUGUGAAGGCUAGAACCCCUACUAAACGCUCUCCCUGUCAAGAGAUUAAGGGAACCAAAACAAUGAGUUAGUGAUUCAUUGGUAUAAUUAGAUCCUGUUUGUGUGUACUCAUGCUAUAGGAAACUAAUUUGUUUGUUCUGUAUGGUAUUGUUAUAUAUCUCUUUACUACAUGUUCUGUAUGGUAUUGUUUGAUUCUCUUCACUGUUUGUUUGAUUCUUGUAUGAACUGACUCUUUGUGUGCUUCAUUGUACUAGAAGUACCGAAUAGCAUUCUCCUAAACUAUACCUAUUAUAGUUUACAAAUGUUUUACUUGGACUGUUAUAGAAAAGACUCAUUUAUCUACUAAGUUAUGCUUGUACUUUGAAAACGGAGUUUUGUGUAACUACAAAGUAACAUAACUUUAAAGAGUUUUGAAAUGUUUUGACAACUUAUAAAUAACAGAAGUAACAUUUUGAAAUAUGUUUAACAACAAAAAUUUACACAAUUAUCAUUGUGUUCAACUUGUAUCCCCCCCCCCUUAAACAGUUAAAAGAUUCAUUAUGGGGUAUGAACUCACCUAAUGUGUGUGAUUCAGUCGGGUAUGCGUGUAAGGAUGAGAAGUUCCACGAAUGAAGUCCCGAUACACAAUAAGUCCUAAAUGACAUAUAAGGACGCAUAUUGACAUGAAUAUAGUGUUUAUAGACAACUAUAUGAAAGGAAACACCUUUCGGGACUAAGAAACACAUUGAUCAAGUGUUGGAAUCACAUGUGAUUCAUCAAAGGGAAGUGAAAUGGCAUCCUAAGGUGUUUACGGUUUUGGGACCAACUCCAUUGGAGUUUACGGUCAUAAACCCAUGAGUUUACGGCCGUAAAAUCAUGUUCCCUUGACCAUUUUGUGGUUUAAAGUCCUAAAAGUCAUAAUGAAGCAUCCUAACUUCAAGUCUAAGCCUUAAGAAGUGUUUGUGGCAUCAAAACACUCCUAAAUGGAGUUUACGGUCCAUGGACCACUUCUCCAUGUGUUUGCUGCCAUAAACCCUAUGGAUGAUGGUAUUUUGAUUGUUUUGAAUCGUAAACACAUCAAGGUUAAGAUCUAAACUAGUUUCCAAGGCUUGGUAGGGACUAAGGCACACAUUGGCACCAUUUUUAGGGUUUACGGUCCAUGAACAUCUUGGACCGUAAACACCCUUGAUCUUGCCUUUCUUGGGUGUUUUCUUGAUGAUUAGAAGUGUAACAAGGCUUAUAACACUCUAGGAUAGAAGUACUUACUAGGUAGAAGCUUGAAAAGGAGCUAAAAGUCCAAGAACACUAGUGUGUGUUCUUGGUGAAACUAAGAACACUUGAAGAUCUACAUAAAUGGAAUGAUUUCAUGGAUGAAAUCAUGUUAGAUCACUAGAUUAAGGUGGAUACCAACUUAUUAGGGCUAGAAACACUUACAAGUUGAAGAUCAAAAAGAAAAAUUCGGAUGCUACUUGAGAGGAUUUGUGUUUGGAUCUUGAAUUUGUGAAAAAGUGUUAAAAUAACUAAGUCCCACUUAUAUAGUCAUUAGGGUUUACGUCCCUAAUACCAUUUGGGCCGUAAACUCCAAAAUCUUGGGGUUUUGGGAACCUAAUUGAUGUACAAUAAACACUAGGGCAUCCUCUAUCCUGUUAACUUUUGAAGCACUAACUUUAAAUCAUUCAAACUUAUUCCAAAAAGCUUGAAAGAUAGCAGAAACUAUUCUGACUUCUAUUGAAGUGAGUGGUUGUAUAGAAUAGAAAUUUCGGGUUGUCACAAACAGUAAUGACAGUCGAUAAGAGUUGGAUUCGUGUAAAUCAAACGUCCCCAAAAUUCUUAGAAGGUCUUAAAAACUUUAUGGAGAUUGCCAGGAAACAUGUUGACUCUGAAGACAAAGUGCGUUGUCUGUGAGUAAAGUGUGUGAAUAUGUAUCGACAGUUGUUGAGUACGGUUUAUGCCCACAUACAUGACCGUGGGUUUCUAAAAUCGUAUAUUGUAUGGAUUUAUCACGGUGAGAAGCGUCCUGUUUCGGAUUUAGGCUACAAUUAGACUCCAAUAAACAUUCCAAUAACUAAAGAGAUGUUUGAUGUAAUUGAUGAUGUUAUGGCAAAACAAAAUACAAAUGAAGAAAAUACAGAUGAUGAAGGACGAGGCAUGGACCCAGAAUUUGAUGCUUUGUUUGAGGACCUCAAUACCAAGUUAUACUCUGAUUGUGAGAUGUCUUCUUUAAACUUUUUGGCGAAGUUGUUGCAUAUUAAAGUGAUCAAUAAAUGGACAAAUAGUUCAUUUGACCAACUUGUAGAGUUGCUAAGAGUUGCUUUCCCAAAGAGCAAAAUUCCAACUUCACACUAUGAAGCUAAGAAAAAGUUGAGAAAGAUAGGGUUAGGAUAUGAGUCCAUCCAUGCUUGCAAAUAUGACUGUGCUUUGUUUUGGAAGGAGAAUGAUUCCAUGCAGAAUUGCCCGAUUUGUAACGAGAGUAGAUGGGUGGACACAACUGUUGGAUAAGGUGUCUAAGUCCAUAACUAUUUCUGGUAAGUACUUGACCCGACCCGGCAUGGUCCAUUUGGGUUGCAUGGCACCAUCCAAUUGGAUAAACUAAAUGAGAGAAAUAACACAUAUGAUUUAUUAAUAUAUUAUAAGUUCUAAUAUAUUAAAAAUAUUGUUUAAUUAGUUUUGAUUAAGAAUUAAUUUAGAAUUAAUUAACUGAUCAAAACAUAACUAAUUAAAUAUAUGGAUAGAUUAUGCAAAUCUUCCAUAUCUUAUAUAGUGGGCUAAGAGGCUCCAUGGAUUAUCAAGUUGGGUUCCACACAUAGGAUGCUCCAUGGAGUUAACCCAUGGAUCAAGAAAUGAAGAGUCAUGGAACAUUAGGGUUUACCUAAUGCAACACACUAUAUAAGCAAUGUAACUCUCGCCAAAAUCGGCUACACUAAGAAACAAGAGGGCUUGGCCGAUUUUGCAUGUGUUAGAGUAUUCUCUCAAGUUUAUUCUUUGCAUUUGGUGUUGUGUGAAGCAUUUGAGGCAUCACACUUGAGGUGCUAGGCUCACAAGGUUUCAAGGAACACUUUCAACAACAAGGUAUGUAGUUCUAUCUUUUAUACAAAGAAAAUUGUACCCCAUGUAUGCUAGAUAGGUUCAUAACCUUGGAAAACAACUUUGCAUGAUUAUUAUACAAACAUAGAUCCAAGGUUAUUAGGGUUGCAUGUACACUUAGGAAGUGUUAGAAUGCUCAAACCUAUCAGUGGUAUCAGAGCCUAGGCUUGCUUGUUUGAUUUUUGUGCAAACUGCUUAAAAAUCGAGUUUUCUGCUUUCUGCCCGUAUGAACUUGCAGUUUUCAGAAUUUCGAUUUUUGUUGCUGGAAAUGGACUAGGAACAUUACCCUAAACUGUUUUGGUGUUUUAAAACUUGUUUUAGUUGGUGUAAUGUUCAUGUUAAUCCAUUUACAAUGACAAAUCAUCAAAAUUACAAGUUUGAGUAAUUUUUGAUUCAUGAAAGUGUUCAUAUUCAUGUUUUUGAUCUUAUGAUGUUUAGAUGAUCAUAGGAAUUUUUUGUAACCUAUGUGGUAGAUUAAUUCAUGAUCAUUAUGUGUUUUAAUGGAGUCUAUAACUUAUCCUCAAGUUAUGGAAAACCAAAAGUCACUUUGCUUUAAAACCAUUAAAAGAACACAUGGAUUAUAAAAAUGAAGAGUCUUCAUUUUUAAUACUCUAAUUAACUCAUAAGUUAUAAGAAAUGAAAAGUUUUGAAAGUUUACAAAACUUGCCCUCAAGUUUUGGAACAAGUAAAGUCUUGAUUAAAACUUUAGUUCCAACCCUUAGAAUUUUAAAAGUUAAAAUUCAACCCUUAUACUUAUAUUAUUAUGAUUUAAUAAUUAUAUAUAUAUGUAUAAGAACAAAGUCGUCUUACCGCUAGUACGCCUCAUUCACGAAGCCGGUCUAUAAGGUGGGUAUAAGGUUGUUGCCUAUAAAAUGGUGACUUAAUGGGUGUCCACUCUCACCCACCGCUUGCUUGAUCGGUGGAGGGUCGUUAGCCGAACGGGUAAGACAAGGACUUAUUAAUUCUCAUUCAAAGUAUGAUGAAUAUUAUAAAGUAACUAAAUGUUUUAUUAAAUUCCCAAUCUUAGUUACUUUAGGAAAAAUGUGAAUAAGGUGCUAUUCCAUGAAAUUACACUUUACACUUUGAUUAAGUCGUUGGUGGAGCGUGUGUGGUUAACCGGCACACUAACUUGGACUUAACAAGGUAGGUAAAGGGUGACUUAGGGUUUAUUAUAGUAUCGAUGGAGCGUGUGUGGUUAACCGGCACAUCGAUUGAGUGAUAAACUUUAAGGGUACCAAGUGAUUUGCAUGGUUACUUCACACCUCGUUUUGUGAUCCUCGGUAUCCCAGUCACAAAACUUGGAGGGCACACUCGAGAUUGAAACAUGCCUUUGAAAAGUUCAUUGAAUCUCAAAGAAUCUAGGAAUUUCUAAGAACCAUUCAAAAACCUAAUACUAAAAUAUUGCGGUUUUCGUGGUGGAAAUUGGUGAAUCGUCAUUCACCUACCUUUCAAAUAUGAUAUAGCUUAGAUUACGGCAUACCUCUUCUAAGUUAUAUUAUAUUGUGAUUGGAUCCUAGCCUUAAUAUUACAUUUGGGUGUUUUAUUAAGGACUCUCUUAUAUCUAAACUAAUCUUGUCCUCUUUCCUUCAGAUGUCUUUCAACAAUGCUUCUGGCUCUAAUCCUAAUGGCUCCUUUACCCUUAUGAACUUGUGUGGGAAAGUCACCUUUGAUGGAUCCAACUUCAAUGAGUGGAUCAGAAACAUCAGGAUGAUUACCCGCUACGAGGACAAAGAAUAUGUCCUUGACAAGGAGCUUAAGGAGAUUGAUGAGUCCACUGCAACUCCUCAGGAGAUCGCUGAAUUUCGGGCACAUGAAAGGGAUGCUACGAAAGUGGCUUGCAUCAUGAUGGCCACGAUGACAGCGGAACUCCAAAAGUCUUAUGAGGAUUUCUACCCUUAUGACAUGCACCAAGAUUUGAUGGAAAGAUACCAUCAAAGUGCAAGACAAGAGAGGUAUGAAAUCAUCUGCUCCAUGAUAACAACCAUGAUGAAGGACGGGGAAUCCGUCACGAGCCACAUGCAGAAAAUGCAAAGGUAUGUGGAUCGUUUGCUGAAGCUUAAUGUGAACUUCCCGGAGGAUCUUGCAAUAGAUAUUAUUUUGCAUUCCUUACCAUCGUGCUAUGAUCAAUUCCGCAUGACAUAUCACAUGAACAAGGAAGAAGUCACCCUCAGCAAACUUCAGGGACUUCUCAAGACCGCAGAAACAGGUCUUAAGGGGAAGUCGGUUGCUAUCACUCCUACUCAAAACUCUACUCCGGUUUUGGCAAUCGGGAAAAGUCGAGGGAGGAAGAGAAAGAGCUCUUCUAAGGGUACCAAGGCUCGGACCCUUGAUGGCUCUUCUUCAAGUGGAACCAAGAAAGGUUUCGUUACUCCUUCUUCUGACCCAAAAGAGGCUGAAUGCUUCUAUUGCCAUGAAAAAGCUCAUUGGAAGCGGAACUGCCCAAAAUACCAGCAAGAUGUGAAGGAUGGGAAAGUUAAACCCAACCAUGCAGGUAUUUACACUAUCAUUUCUAAUAACUCACCCCAUUCUAAUUCUUGGGUCCUUGAUACCGGGUGUGGUAUUCACAUUUGUUGUGACUUGCAGGGACUAAGAAGAAGUGAGGAUGUGGAGCAAGGAAGGAUAAACUUGAUCAUGGGGAAUAGGAAAGCUAUACCUGUUACCAAGAUUGGAGUUUAUACUUUAUCGCUAAGUAGUGGGUUUAGUUUAGAUUUGAAUAAGUGUUGUUAUUCGCCAGGAAUGGCAAGAAAUAUUAUUUCCUUUCAUGCUUUGUACAAACAAGGGUUUACCUUUUCAUUUAAUAAUGAAGUUGGUUCUAUAGAUGUUUUCUAUAAUAAUGUCUUUUAUUUUAAAGCAUUACCUUGUGAUGGUGUGUAUGAAGCUGUAUCUGUUGUAGAUAACUUGGGAAAUAAUGUUUUGUGUAUUGAUUCUACUAAUAAUAACUUGGAUAAAGCAUCUUUAUGGCAUUGUCGUCUUGGACAUAUAAGCAAGAAACGCAUAGGCCAACUCCAAAAGGAUGGAGUCUUGGAGUCGUUUGACCUAAAGUCAGAUGAUAGUUGCGAAUCAUGCUUACUUGGAAAAAUGACAAAGUCACCCUUCACAGGUUCGUGUGAGAGGGGUGAAGGUUUGUUGGACCUUAUACACACGGAUGUGUGUGGACCAUUCAAACAUGCCACAAGGGAUGCUAAUCGUUAUUAUUUGACUUUUACUGAUGAUUAUAGUAGAUAUGGAUAUGUCUACUUGAUCAAGCAUAAGUCAGAGACUUUCGAGAGGUUUAAGGAAUUUAAACAGGAAGUCGAGAAUCAAUUGGGCAGGAACAUUAAGAUGCUUCGAUCCGAUCGUGGUGGUGAGUAUCUUAGUUCAGAGUUCCUCGACUAUCUAAGGGAAUGUGGGAUAGUCUCACAAUUGACACCUCCCAGGACACCACAGUUGAAUGGUGUGGCUGAGAGGCGUAAUCGAACCUUGUUGGAUAUGGUUCGUUCCAUGAUGAGUCGAGCUUCGCUACCAAUCUCAUUCUGGGGGUAUGCCUUAGAGACUGCCGCCCAUAUUCUUAAUCUAGUCCCUACAAAGAAAGUUGCCAAAACUCCUCACGAGAUGUGGACUGGUAAAGUACCCAAACUAGACCACAUCAAGAUUUGGGGUUGCGAGGCUUUUGUGAGGCGCGAGUCUCAUGAUAAGCUAGAACCCCGAAGCGAGAGGUGUAUUUUCAUCGGCUACCCACAAAGAUCCUUUGGUUACCUCUUCUACAGACCUAGUGAUAAUGUGGUCUUUGUAGCAAGAAGAGGAGUCUUUCGAGAGAGAGAAUUUAUAAGCCAAGGAGACAGUGGGAGGCAAAUUGACCUUGAAGAACUUCAAGAGUCAAGUGGUGAAGGAACUUCAAACCCUAGCCCUCAACUUGAGGAGGAAACUCCUGUUGAGCCAAUUGACGAGUCUGUACCUCUGAGGCGUUCCACGAGAGUUAGGAAUGCACCUGAGCAUUACUAUGGUUUCCAUAUUACUGCAGAAGGUGAGACACUUAUUAGUGAUGAGACACUAGUAGGUCUGGAUGAACCUAACAGCUACGCGGAAGCCAUGGCAGGCCCUGAGUCUGCUAAAUGGAAAG
rnacentral:lncRNA from 1 species